AGACAAACUAACUGAAGCCACAGCCGGAAGCAGGCUGACCACAAGUGCUAAGGUUCUGGUUCAAAAGAAGAGGCUGUUCUAAGAAAGACUACCGAGUAAUCAAUCACCUCCUCAGAGAAAGUCUGCUCAGGGACCAGCUCUGUGAACACGGCAAGUAACAACAGAGAGAAAACGUGAGGAGAAAAGAGAGACCGGGAUUUUGAAAUCCUGUUUCCUGAAUGCCAUCUCACCAGGCACACGAAAGAAUAAAAUUAAGGAAUCAAGAGCCAAGAAUUUUCUUAUUUUCUUUCAAAAGCUAAAGUCGUCUGGGGCAACUGUUUUCAUCGCUAACCCCCGCUAAUUUCUCCAGCUAUGGUAGUAUUGCUCUCCCUCUGUGGGAUCUAAAACAUGCCCUGUCCUUUUCAGGUUUUAAACCCCAGACCCAGCCGCAAACAGUCUUUUCAUGUCAGAUGAGUUGCUUCGCAACUCUGAGUCACAGGCCUCUUGUCUCUCAGAUGAGGGUUAUGCCACAGGACACAGGUUCCUCACUGGGAAUGGUGUGAGGACUAUAUCCAGGGAUAUUUCACGGCAGGGCCUCUGGAUCAACUGCUUUACAUUGGAGGCUGUUCAUUCUCACUGGUUUAUGCAGUAAGAGCCAUGCCUUGCUGUGUGCCUCAUUCCUUUCUCCAGCUGCAGAGGGUCUUGCUAAAACACAGAUUUCAUCACUCAUCUUCCAACAACCCCUGACCAUCCUCUGGACGAAGUUUAACCUCCUACGCCUGACAUAGAAGAUCCUUCAUGAUCUAGCCCUUUGUUUGUAUCUGUGGCUUCAUUUCUUGCCACUCUCCUUCCUUAUAAUCAUUAUCUCCCCAAACUUGCUGUUUUUUUCUUUUUACCUUUAAAGCCUUUAGAUGUACUAUUCCCUCUCCUUGGAAUAUCAAGAGUCUCCUUUUAUAGUUUGGAUAUCACUUUCUUGAUGAUACGCUUAGCCCAGUAGUAGGCCGGGUGCCUAACUUCUGUAUUCCAUCCUUAUUCCCAGCAUUGGGCAACUCUCUAGCAAUCACCAUUUGGCCUGCCCGCACCCUCCACUACAUUACUGUCUCUUAGAGUACACCACAGUCCCUGGCAAAUGGCGGGCACUCAGUAUAAAUCGGCUGAAUCACAUCAGAUCUUUUCUUCAGGUGUAACCUUCUUUUCCCUUCAUCUCCCUCCUCUUUCUCAGCCUUUCCCCUUUGCUAUAGCCUUACUCCUGAGCAGUAAAUUUAAUCUUCUUCCAACAUCACCUGCAUCAGCUAAGCCUCUGGAGGAGUCCGAUAUUAACAUGGGGCUUACAGUUAGGAGGUCCUACCUUCUCUGGGUGCAGGAGAGGAGCAGUUCUCCCCACUCUCCACCCUACACACAUCGGAGAACAGGAACUCGCUUGCCAAACUCUCGCCGGUUUCUGGGAGAGAGAAGGAAAUUUUAUGAUGAACAAUCUGGCAGCAUAUGGUUAAAAUGUUUGAAGUCCCCAAUUCACGGCUGAUUAAACAAUUCUUUACAUAAAUAACACCCUAGAAUCUUGCAUAUAAAUUCAAAGCAGAAAUGCAAUUUACACUUUCAUUUGGUGAUCUGGAUGGGAAAAAAGCCAAAAAUGUCAAUUCCUGUAGGCUUACUAGAAAUAUCGCACUUAAAUAGCACCUCUCCAACUUUAAAGACAAACAGCUGAAACUCUUAGACAGAUACUACUGAACGUACAGACUCUGGCAAGAUUUAUACCAAGUCUGCACGAGAAGCAUUAGCAGGCAUUAAUAGAAAUCCAAGGUCCAGGCCAGUUUAGUCCACAACUCUAAGAUGGCUGGCAGUAAAUGUCACUUAGUGUCAACUUGGGAGGCUGGAGAUACAUGCCAAGAACACAGCAUUUGGGAGGGAGAGCACAAAGGCUGGCUGGCUCAGUCAGCCACAACGAUUCUAGUCUGUUUCUUAGACUCGGGAUGAAAAACCAGUAGUAUUUCACUAAGUCGGGCCAACUAUUGUAACUGAGAGAAGAGGGCACUUGGGUACCAUUCAAGUAUUAUGGUCAUUUUUUUUCACUCUCAGAAUUGGAAAUCUCUUCUGUUCUUGCUAUGUGUAAAAAUAACAUGAGCUCACUGUAAAACCUGCAUAUAGUAAAAAAGCCCCAGAGAGAGCUACUGCUAGCAGUCUGGAGGUACAGUCAUCCAUGUUUUAAUAUAUGUAUAUGGGCUUUUUAAUUUUUAAGAAAACAUAAGACCAGGCAUAGUGGCCCACACCUGUAAUCCCAGCACUUUGGGAAGCUAAAGCUGGGGGAUCGCCUGAGCCCAGGAGUUCGAGACCAGCCUGGGCAACAUGGCAAGAACCUAUCUCUACAAAAAAUACAAUUAGCCACAUGCAGUGGCAGGCGCCUGCAGUUUCAGCUACUGGGGAGGCUGAGGUGGGAGGAUUGCUUGAGCUCGGGAGGUUGGAGGUUGCAGUGAGGUGAAAUCAUACCACUGCACAUCAGCCUGGGAGACAGAGUGAGAUCCUGUCUCGAAAAAAAAAAAAAAAAAGACAUACAUGUGAUCCUACUAUAGUUAUCCUUCUGCCAUUUCCAACUACAUCUUGUGGGUAUUUUUCCAUGGAGGUUUCUAAAGAUGUACCUAUGUGCAAGGCACCCCACCUCAUGGAUGUACCAUGAUCUGAUGAAACACCCCCGAACAUUUACACUGCUUCCAACUGUACACUGCAGCGAACGUUCUCCCAUAUAUGUCUGUUUCUACGUGCACAGUCGGCAGCCUUUUUUUCUUUAAGUAUUGAUCCUAGAAGUAGAUUUACUCAGUUAAAGGGAUGCAUACUCCAACGCUCUCAAUAUGUAUGGUCACUGCUUUACAAAAAAGUUGCACUAGUUUAAAAGAUGAUGUUAGUGAAUAAAUAAAUGUCAGAUCUGGUCACCCACUCUUAGCAUUUGAUAUGCCACAUUGCCACAUUCAUUGUGAGAAUGAAGACCUGUAUUUGAAAUUCACACUCUGCGUGUUAGGGAGAUACAAUGGGGAGAUAUCUGCAUUACUAAAGUCGUUAUUUUCUUUAGUUCAGUUAUAAUCAGGAAAUAAUCUUUUAGCAUUAAAAAGAUCAGAAGAUCCCAAACCCACCUGGAACAGCUGUUUCAUUGGGCAGCCUAUCUACUUCCAAGAUAAAGUCAUCCUUGAAGAAAAGAUAGCCCACUAUUGAGAACAGGUAAACGAGGAUCAGAGCCAGAACUGCUGUCAGGAUGAUGGACCGUCCAUUGCGAGUGACACUUUUAAUGACAUUAAGCAAAGUCUCUUCUCUGUACACUAAAUCAAAAAGCUUUGAAAACAAACAAAAAGAAUUUUAAGAAGCCUUGAUGUUAGAUGUACAUCACUAUCCCAUAAUGCAAACUUGGUUUAUAGAGAGUUUGCCCUCUUAGACACUCAAAAGCACUACAUAUGAUCUUAACACUGAACAUCUUCCCUGGCUUCACAGUGAAACGGAGAUGGUAAAAAUGAGGAAAAAUAAACACAGAAGAGGAAGCAGGAAACAAUAGCAACUUCAAGUAGUAUCCAGAGCCAUUUAGAGGGACUGGAAAUAGAGAAAAUACAUGCUUGUGCCAAUGAGUUUCAGAGACAAAGGGAGAGGAAAGUGAUGAGGGUCUUGGCAUCCAUUCAUUUAGAAGGUACUGAAUUGAGUUUAUGAAGAGCCAGCCACCCUGGUCCCUGCCCUCCUGCAGCCCAGUGUCUGGUGGGAAGGCAGACGUACUACAAGCCAGCGUCAGUGGCAAGAACUCUGGACUUAGAUGUAAAUUCAAAUCUCAGCUCAGCUACUGUCCACCGUAUGAUCUCGGGCUAGGCACUUUCCUCAUCCCCUCUGAGUCUCCAUUUCCUCAUUUGCAGACUGGAGGAUGUAGAGUUGUUAUGAAGAAUAAGUAAACCACGUACGCACAGUGCUUAGCACACUGGCAUCCAUAUGCUCAGUAAGUACAGUAAAUAGUAAUUAUCAUCAAUUUCCUGAUCAAGAGACUGGGGCAGGGUCACAUAGCUGGUGUAUCGCAGGGACAUUAGUGACGUUAACAUUGCGAGGGUAAGACCCCUGCAGGUCACAGUGCCUUCACAAUCCAGGCUUGCCCUCUGCUAAGGAACCUGCUCUUUGCAAGAAGUUGGCUUCCUGAGGAAUGGAGGAUCCUUGUAGGUACAUAUAGGUAUGGGAGGAUGAUGGCUAGUUUUCCAAGAGCUACAGUCACAGAUACUUGACUGGGAGAAUGGUGGGGAGUGUGGGGAGAGAGCUCUCUGAAGUUACUCUUAGACCUGAGGCUAGUUUUUAGCAUGGCCUCUGGCUGCUGUCUAAUCCUGUACAGAAGGUUUGGUCUCCACUGUGGCUUUGGGGUGUGACUGCACCAUGAAGUGAGUCAGGGGACAGGGUUGAAUCCUGACUGCUUUUAAUUUGUUGCAAGAUGUCGGCCAAGCCAUCUAAGCUCUCUGGAUCUGUUUCCUCAUCUGUAAAAUAAGUGGACUGAGACAGCUGAUCUCUGAGUCCCUUCCAAUUUAGAAUUUUUCAUCUGAGGUCAUUUUCCGGUCGAUUGGCUUUUCUGCCUCCUUGACACCAAUCUGUGUUCUGAGACUAGUUCUGUGAAGGGCAUUGGGUAGAGUAGGAUACUUAAAGGGAAGCAAGGAAGAGGGAUUUUAGUCAAUACAAUAUGACAGAAGGCAAAGUGUUGCUGUUAAUGUUGGUUAAAUGUUUUCCAGCAGCUCAAUAUAAAGUGGCAAGUAAGCGCAACUUCAGACAACAAACAAAUGGCACUUGUUUUCUGUGGUUAAGGACCGCAGAGAUUACACAGGCUCCAAAUCAUAGAAAUGACAAGCGAUUUUUUCCUUUUCACUCAUCUAUAGUUUCUGAUUUUAAAACAAUCAAUAAGUAUUAUUUAUAUAAAAGAAAAGCUUUCUUCUAAUUGGAAAAUUAUACAUGUUCAAUGGAGAAAACUUGGAAAACAAAAAAAAGCACAAAGGAAAAAAAGUCACUAAUAAUUCACCAUCUAGAGACAUUCGCUCAAUAGCUUAAUUCCUUCUGGCCUUAAAAAAUGCAAUUUAUAGAUAUAUAUUGUUUACAAAAAUAUUAGACCAUAAUACUGGCACAUAACCAGCCUUUCACCAAGCCAUCAGGAACAUUUUCCUGUCAAAAAUGAUCACCUGGUAUUUCACUAUAUGGGAAAAACAUGAUUAACAUAACCAAUAUGUUUUUUAAAAACAGUCAAGAUGUUUCCAAUUAUAUGUCAUAACAAAUAAUGCUGUGAGGAACACUUCUAUACAUGCCUCCAUACGUGCUCGUCUAGUUAUUCCUUUUCGGCGAAUUUUUGGAAAUGGAGUAUUUGAGUCAAAUGGUAUAAGAGAAACAUUUUGCCUGCUGCUUUCAGAAAGGCAGGAUCAGUUUACAUUCACCACUAGUAAAGAAUCAUGCCCAUUUUACCCCACUCUCACUAGUACUGGGCACCAUCAGGCUUUUUAACCUUUACUAAUGUCACAGGUAAAACACAGGAUUGCGCUGUUUUAAUUAGCAUGUCUUUGUUUAGCACCAAGGAUGAACAUUUUUCCAUGUUUACUGACCAUCUGGAUUUCUGCUUUUGUUAACUGCCUGCUUAUGAACUUUGCACAUUUUCAUCUCCAGGUGUUAAUAUUUUUCUAAGGACACAGCUUUAAUGCAGGCUCACGACCAGGUCCGGCCAGUCUUUGUGGGGGAGGGGGGGCAGCAGUUUAAUUAGGCCACCAGAUCACCCUCCCUACCUUCCGGCCUGCUGGCAUGGAGGGAGCUCUCCCAACUCUGGAACACAUGGGUGUUCCCUGCUCAGGUCUCUCUCCUUUUACAGGCAGCCCGAUUUCUUUUGGUUGCAGGCUUUCCUUAUUAGUAGAAUAAUUUGAAGUGUCAGUGUUUUCUGGUUCUUACCAGACACAUUGAGUACUGCUUUGAUACCAAAAGGAGCACAUCACUUGAAGACACAAACAAGUCAAGGUCCACACAGCUUAGAAAAUCCCCCCGCAAAGCACAGGAGAGGCAGCCAACCAUAAUCUGGUUUGAUCCUAUUGCGUUUCCUAAAAGUGAACUGAGGUAGCAUGAUCAGAAGCUGAGAGUUACUCUUAUCUUUCUGUGAUAGGUUGGAGACUUGAAAGCACAGAUGCAAACUGGAACGUGAAAUGCCAGUUUCACUGAUGCAAGGACUUUUUCACAUGCUUGAAUAAAAGGCAGUGUCAACUUGGGAAUCAACAGAGUUGUGAGGCUCUCCUGCCUCCACCAGUUACUGACAGUGUGACUCUGAGCAAGUUACCUAACCUCACCAAGCCUCAGUUUCCUCAGGUGUAAUUGGAAGAUACCAUCUACCUCAAAGGUGGUAGUGAGAGUGUGUAGAGAAGAGUGCAGGGUGACCACUCACAAAACGGCUGUCCCUGUAAUGUGCUCCUGACUGUGAGGCCUAUGAGGGUAGGGACUGUGUUCCUCUCACCAUUAUGUGCCCUGCGUCAGGCACUGGCACUGGCCUGCAUUGCAAGUGAUGAAGAGAAGAGGACUCAAAUGAACAGAAAAGAAGCCAAGCCAACUGGAGGCAGAUUGGAGGAAAGGUCGAAGUGUCUACUGGGGCAAGGUGGCGUUGACCAAAGGGGCAUCUCCUGUCUCUUGGGAGAGAGCCCUUGGCAGGGAUGAGAGAGACCACCAACUGAACUCUGCCGCCCUCCCAAGGGAGGACAGGAAUUUGUUGUCCAGGGACAUGAUGGCAUGAGACAAAAAGUUCCAGAAACAGACGUAAGUCUCUAAAGGUUUCUGAUACAAAGUGACCAAAAUAGGCGACAUAAUGGGAAUCACAAGGAUAUCCUGAGACCUCUUUGCCUAAAACCUCAAAAUAUAGCCAGACCUAUUUUAAGAUGAGGGAAAAGAAUCCAUUCCCUUUAGCCUGCCAAAAUCCACCCCUAAUGGUAUGAGCUAAUCCUAGUGAUCUGAACGGUGAAUUCCUUAUGGUGUUUUGGACGGGGGAAGGAAUAUAGAAUGACAAAGACAAUAAAAUAGCUGGCAAUCAUUCGGCAGUGCUAUUCUAAGACCCUGACCUGAACAGCUGCAUGUAAUCCCUGUGACGGCCCUGUGAGGGAGAUACACUGUUCUCAUUUUGUAGAUGAGGAAACUGUGGCACAAGGCAGUCAAGUACGUUAAGCGAAGGGAGCAUCUCACACAGUUGCAUUUUGUACUUUCAAAUCUCUAACCUAUUGCAGAAAGAUAAGAGUAACUCCCAGCUUCUGAUGCUGAACUGCUCCUCAGUUCACUUUAAGAAAACGCAAUAGGAUCAAACUAGAUCGUGGCUGGAUGCCUCUCAUACGCGCUUCGGGGGGGUUUUCUAAGCAUCUCCCUGAAGAGCUUCCCUUGCUCUGCCUUUUGUAAGCCCCCCUCUCUUUGUAAGCCCCCCUCUCUUUGUAAGUCCCCCCUCUCUUUGUAAGCCCCCCUCUCUUUGUAAGCCCCCCUCUCUUUGUAAGCCCCCCUCUCUUUGUAAGUCCCCCUCUUUGUAAGCCAACCCUUAGGCCUUGAUCAUUUUUGUCCUCACAAAUAUUUUAAUAUUCCUAGGCUGUUUAUGGUGUUGCUUGCAGAUAGGUCAGUUUUAUGCUUCCUGUCAUUUUAUGUAGGCACAAGAAAAUGGUUUCUUAUCUACAACGCCACAGGUCUAGAUUCCCUCCAACUACAGGAAAGUAAGUAGUUCCUUGAUUUGUCAUUUAAAAACCUGCUCAGGAGGAAGGUGAUGGAACCAGCUUGUCUUACAGACUGUCAAGACAUUAAGCACUUGGCUCAUAUCGGAGGAAAAUGAGCUACUGAAAGGGUCUCCUAGACCAAUAAAUCUACUGAGCUCAUGAUCAUGAAUCCCGGGGCUUCAAAACUAGCUCCUACUCUUAUGGUCGCUACACGUGUUCACAAGAAAUGGACUCCCUGAGAGCUGUUGGAUGACAGCCUCAAAAACACUCCUCUUGGUGUAAGUGCGGCUGAGUCUAAGAAGUAAAGAAAAACAAAGGUGCAUGGAAAGGAAACAUCUCCUGAACCUACUACAGGCAUGUUCCAUUACUGAGAAGUAACAGAUCGGGAGUGCCCAGUACACAGUGCGGUUGUGUGACUCUUGAAUUCCUGGGCUGACCCAAUUCCUGUGGAGCUUUCCUCUCAGAUCCCCCAAAGGCUGCCAACUGUGGAGCUUCAAUCUUGGUGGACCAGGCACACCAAUCACCAUUAAAAGGAAGGGUCUGUGAUGAGAGAGAGGACAUAGGACACUCUCCUAGUUUCCCCACACAUAAAAUAUUUCCACACCAGGUACUCACCAGCAGACUGUAGAAGAAUUCAUGGACAAAGAGCCCCAUGGCACAGAUCACCAGAUACAACAAAUGAUAGAGGAACUCAACAUCCAGAACCAUGGCUCGGUAGCCUCUUGUGAAUGUCCCACAGUUGCCCACAAAGCUCAUUAGAAAGAUGAUUUUAUUGCAUACCUGAGAACAAUGACAGGAACAGUCAGAUGGCACGGACUGUGCCAAACUCUUCAUGAGAGCAACGAGAGCAUCUCACACAAAUGUAUUUCAGUCACCGUGCCCAAACAAACGCUUCCUUUUCCACCCGGUGCCCACCAAACCCGCCAAGACCCAUUUGCAGAUCUAAGUCAUUUCAUUACUUUGCUUUUCAGGCAUAUUACAAAUUACAUGGUAGUCAAAUAACUUCAUGCGCAACAGUAAUCAAGUAGCAUUUCUCUAUGGCAAAAACAAAAUUAACACAUACUGAGAUUAUGAUUUUCAAAAUGAGAUAUGAAUCAUUUCUAACAUUCUUGUAUGAGUUAGUCAAACACAGAAGUCACCUCAAUCCACGAACCCUGUGAUCAGCAUGAUCAAAAGCAUUUUCUGAAUUUGUUACAUUCUAGGCACUGUAAGGUGGCAAUUUAAUGAGCAGUGAUCAGUUCUUGCCUUUCAAUGCUCCUAAGUUCACAGGGAAAACAACAAUUUUCUUGGGGGAAAAAAAAUAUAAGGGACUUCAGGAUGAGUUCUAUUCCCCUGCCCUCUCUUCUGGGAAUAACUUCUAAUUUUCCUUUGGGGACCAUUCCUCUCUGAGUAGCAGUCUUUGAGGUCUGGGUGGGGCUCCAACCUGGCCAUCACAAUAUUGUAUUCCCCUGGGUACAAUGACUGGUUUAGAGAUAGACACAGGACCAAAUGGAGCCAAUGAUGUCCACUGAGCUCUUUCUUGGGAUUGCAGCCAAAGAUAAUUUUGUUCUUUCCCACUGACCUUGAACCUGAGCAGCUGUGAACUCUGGAGCUGCCACAUUACCAACACUGAAGGCACCACCAGCACUGGGGACACAGAGCCAAAAGAUGGCAAGGAGGAACUGGGCCCUGAGGACACUGUGUGAGCCCCUGUAUCAGCUGUGCCUGAAGCGAGGCUGUUGGUUUCUUGGUCAAAAUGAACCAAUACAUAUUCUCCUUUGCUGAGGCUAGCAUGGAUUAGGUUUUCUGACAUCUGCAACUGAAGGAGUCCUAACUGAACUACUGUGCAAUAUAGUCUCACCUUUGAUAGAAACCCCAAUGCCUGGAAGUCCAUCUCUAGCAAUAUGUUGACAGAAAAACUUGGCUCAGGAGGAGGCCAGAGAGGGACCUCUCUGGAUGCACUUGGUAAAACCAUCUUCUGCUACUCUAGCUCCCUUGGCCACAGGUGCGGGGGAAAUACUGCCAGUUAAUCUGGUAGGUCGGUGUAAGUGAGCUUCUCGGCAAUCAGAUAAGCGAGGAAGCCGACACCCACAGAUCGCUGCUGGCUUUCUCAGACAGGCUAAGCAUUCAAUCUGCCAAUUUUUUCCAAAAUUCUCACCUUUGCUAGUGGAGGGGAUUUCAGAGGGUGGGAAAGUAUCACUGAUUCUGGAUGAUCCAUGAUGAUGUGGUUUCAGGGAGAGGCAGAUGGUGCCCUGGGUGACAUCACACAUUACAGCACCUCAAACACACCCCAGAUCCUGCCAACUUAACAACAGGGUGAUCCACUUCACCUGAGUCCAUUCUCCCCUCUAACUUCUGCCCUAGUUUUCUCCAUUGCUUCCCCAGGAAAUAGCUGCUAUUUGUGGUCUCAGCCUGCGGCUGGACUCUGCUUGUUAGUCUUAGAUCUGGCUUCCAUCCCCACCUCUCAACAGAGACAGCUCAUGUGAAGUCUCCAAGGAUUCUGCGCACCCAGCAGUCUUCCCGUCUGCUCUUAGCAUCUUUCCCAGCUCCCUGCGGCGUGACAAGUCUCCCAGCGCACCCUGCUCACCACUCUCCCAGCUGGGCUUUAGGACCCCACCUUCUCCUCCUCCAGCUCUCAGAACUCCAAUAUUCUCUCUCUGUCUCCGUCCACAGGUACUUUCCCUCUCCCAUACAUUCCAUGUGGGUGUUUCUCUCUUUUAAAAUUCACUCUAGGCGGGGCAUGGUGGCUCACGCCUAUAAUCCCAGCACUUUGGGAGGCCGAGGCGGGUGGAUUGCCUGAGCUCAGGAGUUCGCGACCAGCCUGGGCAACACGGUGAAACCUCGUCUCUACUAAAAUACAAAAAAUUAGCCAGGCAUGGCGGCACACACCUGUAGUCCCAGCUACCUGGGAGGCUGAGGGAGGAGAAUUGCUUGAACCCAGGAGGCGGAGGUUGCAGUGAGCCGAGAUUGUACCACUGUACUCCAGCCUGGGUGACAGAUCGAGACUCUGUCUCAAAAAAAAUGUAAAAUAAAAUUUACUCUAAAUAAUUAUUUAUUAUAGCUGUUUGCCCCCUACCAGCUUAUGUUGUUGUAAAUGGUAAUUAAUUAUCUCAGUUGAGUCUUUCCCCCAACUGAUUUGUGUUAAAGAAGUGAUAACUGUGGAAUGAUUAUCAGAGAAGGCCAGAGAAGAAAAGAACUAGACAGCCCAUAGAAGACAGCCUCUGAAAUACUGAACAUUUUUUCUACCUAGUUGUUUAUGUAAUUCUUUUGUAUUUCUUUCUUAAAUGGUUUCCUCUCACUGCAGGCAAUCCCUACAUUCCCCUCCCCACACUGAUCUCUCUCUGUAGUUCUGGUCAUGUAUUUCCAAAUGCCGCAGCUCACGUUAACAGCGUGUCUUUCCACCUGAAGCCCAGUAGGUCAACGAUGUAAAUGCAUUUUCACCCUGAAAAACUAAAUCUUUGCAUGACUUCAUUUUAGAUGGCCACAUUAUUCUUCUCCCAAUCAUUUGUGACUGAAAAUUUGGAGUCAUAUUUGCCUCCUUCAUUACCCAAUCAAGACAGUGAUACCCUCUUUGUCUGAAAAAGGGACCCAGAGUGGCAGUAUGGUUUGGUUCUGUGUCCCCCCCAAAUCUGUUAACUUGUAAUCUCCAGUGUCAGAGGUGGGGCCUGGGGGGAGGUGACUGGAUCAUAAAUAGUUUAGCGCCACCUGUCCCGGAUACAGUAUAGUGAUAGAGAGCUGGUUGUUUAAAAGCGUGUAGCGCCUCCCCAUCCGCUUCCUCCUGUUCCAGCUCCAACUUUGCUGCUUUUACUCCGCCAUGAGUGAAAGCUCCCUGAGGCCUCCCCAGAAGCAGAUGCUGCCAUGCUUCCUGUACAGCUGCAAAACCUCAAGCCAAUUAAACCUCUUUUCUUAUAAAUUACCGAGUCUCAGGCAUUUUAUAGCAAUGUGAGAACGAACUAAUAGAAGCACAUUGCUUUCUGGGUGGGGUAAGGCUCUGACUCUGUGCCCACCAUGUGUUACUAUUUCCUCAUCUCUCUUUCUCUCUUUCUUUCUUUCUCUUUCUUUCUUUCUUUUUUUUUUUAAUCAGUCUCAUUCUGUCACCCAGGCUGGAGUGAAGUGGCACCAUCUCAGCCCACUGCAACCUCUGCCUCCCAGGUUCAAGAGAUUCUCGUGCCUCAGCCUCCCAAGUAGCUGGGAUUACAAGCAUGCAUUACUAUGCCAGGCUAAUUUUUGUAUUUUUUUUUAGUAGAGAGGGGUUUCACAUGCAUACUGGCCAGGCUGGUCUUGAACUCCUGGCCUCAAGCAAUUUUCCCGCCUUGGCCUCCCAAAGUGCUGGGAUUACAGGCUUGAGCCACGGUGCCCAGCCUGUUUCCUUCCCAUUUCUGACGUCCAUACCUUCCUUCUUUCUUCUACACUAUGUCCAAGACUCAGGCUUCUCAAACCUAAUCAAAGCGUCGCUACAGCCCCUAAAAAGCCUCCUUGCCUCUAGUCCCUCCUGAUGAAUCCACAUAACAAGCCAUACUGAAUGCAUUUUCUCAAGAAUACUUCUUUGUAUGGACCAUUUCUUGGCUCAAAAACACCACAGGCACUUUCCACUACUGGGAACAGAGUUUCCAACAUACAUUCUAUACAACACUAAUCUCAAGUGAUACUUACAAAAAACUGCAGGAAAAUAAGUUUGGGAAACAGAAAGACACUGUUUUCCUUGGAGGUUCCUAAUCCAUAUUAGUACAUUAAAGUCUGUGAGGAAGCCUGCAGUAAUGAAACCUUUCAUUGUGUUUACCUCAGCAUUUUUCAUGCGGAUUCAAUCACGGAACCCUUUUUUCACCUCAUAUUUAUCAACGUGGAAUAUGCUCUGGGAAUGCUGACCUGGGGGAUGAAGUCCAGUUGCUUUAUCCUAAAAUUCAGUGCUGCAAGUGACUUACACAGGAUCAGUUCCUACUGAUCACUACUGAACCACGAAUGAGGUGAAACUCUUUAUUUAUUGUCUGUUGAUAACAUCCCGAGCUUUCCCACUGUUCUGCUCUGGCCUAUGGGGCCCACGAAACCAAAGAACUCUUCUCAAUCCCCGCUUCAUGGCCAGAUCCUCUCCAUUCCCUUUUUUUUAAAAAUUAUUUAUUUAUUUGUUCAUUUAUUUAUUUUUGAGAUGGAGUCUCCCUUUGUCACCCAGGCUGGAGUGCAGUGGUGCCAUCUUAGCUCACUACAACCUCCACCUCUCAGGUUCAAGUGAUUCUCCUGCCUCAGUCUCCCGAGUAGCUAGGAUUAUAGGCGCAUGCUACCAAACCCAGCUAAUUUUUGUAUUUUUAGUAGAGAUAGGGUUCUGCCAUGUUAGCCAGGCUGGUCUCAAAUUCCUGAUCUCAAGUGAUCUGCUCACCCUGGCCUCCCAAAGUGCUGGGAUUAUAGAUGUGAGCCACCGAGCCUGGCCCUCCAUUCCUUAAGCCCUAACUUCCAUCCUGCCUCCUCCCCGCUGUAAGCUUUUCAGCUUGACAUGACCUGUUCUCUAAAGUCCUUGCUGCCUGUGCCAUUUGAAUACUCCCUUUGGGGCUUUUGCUGUUGCACUGAAUUACUAUAUUAUUUUGCGAUAUCACUUCCAGUUUUGCAUGGGACCUCAGCUUCCUUAUAUACUCAGGGCAGAAACCCCUGGAAGGCAUUUUUAGAUCCUCCAGUGCCUCACAUGUCCAAAUUUUCUCCUUCCCUUCACAAGGAAACCUCUCCAAUGUAUGGUUUUAUAUCAGUUUGUCCUAAGAAUUCUCCCAGAGAUGAAAUUGGCUUCUAUCUUUCAAUGGUAGUGAAACAGCAUUUCUAAAUGUCACCACUGACUUUUAAAGAAUUGUCUCUGCUUCUCCUCUUCCCUCUCCACCUGCCCUGUCUCUGUAUUUGGCCAGGCCCUCUUACCUAUCCCCUCUUUUCUAUGUGGCCCUUUCCAGAAGUGGGUACGGUGUUAAUAUUUGAUCAUUUCACUUAUUGUCUAAAAUCUUCUGUCCCAACAAACCUUUGACCAGAUUGGCAAAACUAACUUAAAUCUCAAAGCACUACCACUUUUUCUGCCUAUCUCCUGACAGGGAUAGUCCCUAAAAGUGAAAGUGCUGAUGCCCAAGGGAUCCAUUACAAGGCUCACUGCACCACGCGGAGGUCAAGAGGGAGACGUCCACCUGCAGCCAUCCCCUGCUUCUGGCUAUUUAAACAGUUGCCCCAAACAAUAAUUUUCUGGACUGAAAGCACAGGCCAGGAUUCUAGAAACCAGAGUGCAAGGCAUUCCUAUUAAUCUGCAAACAAAACAGUGGCAAGGAAGGUAUUCACACUUACAUUGAAAGCGCCCAGAAGAAACAACGUGGGUUGUAACCCGACUGAAAAUAUCAGUCGUAGAAUUGUGGAGGCAAUUAAGGCCCGGAUGCCAUGGGGCUUGGGGAGGGCAAUGACGAUGGCCAGAGAGAUGAGCAUGGCUGUCCACAGGAGUCCCGACCAGUGGGGCUCCAGGGUUCCUGCAAGGACAAAACAGGGUUCUCUCACAAAUCUGUGCCUUCACUGAGUACAGGGGACAGACCUAAAACAUGCACUGUUACAGAUUCCUCAAUAACUUUUUUGGCUUACCAGUCCCAACUCUCACCUCAAAUUCUCUGCCCCAUCCAUAACCAGUCCCAUCAGCAUUUUUUGACCUCCAAGCCUCCACACAUGCUCCUUCUGCUGGGAAGUUCUUCCCUUCUCAUUCAUCUCAGGUCUUAGCUUUGACAUUACUUCUUCCAGGAAGCCUCCCCCAAUCCCCUUCCUCCCCACAAAAACAUGUCAGGAGUUCCCUCCUCCUCCGUACUCCCUGCUUCCAGUCAUCCCUACAGGACACUAUUUCCUAAUGGUCAGUUUACUUGUCUCUCUCUCACCAGAUUGCACAUUCCCCAGGGGAAGUACCUGGUGCCUGGCAGGUACUCACGAAAAGCUCGUUCGAGAAAUAAAACUCAUGCAUGUGUCACACUUCACUCAAAGAAGGCGACGUGGAAGCCUAAACUUAAUUUCUAUUAAAAGUAUGCAAAGGAAAACUGCAGGUCCCCUGCCUGAAUCAGAUUUCUCCAAGGGAAGGAGAAAGGCAACUUCCGUGUCAUGAGCAUCAUGCUACAAUUAGAUUAUCCCUGCAGUCAAAGAGCUUAUACCAAUUUUUGUCAUCUCUUGCUACUGCAAGUUCUAUUUAGAGUGUCCCACGAGACGGCUUGGUUAUAUAACAUGAGCCAACACGGCUAAAAAUAUAGUUCUGUAAAACACUCAUUAAAAAAAAAACACCCCUAUUUCAAAUGCUGUCACAUUUUGAGUCUCCUUCAGAUGUAAACAAGCAGCACUACAUGAUUAAGGCCACUUAUAUAAAGGAGCUUCACUUCUUCAGAGAUGCUUGGAUUGUGGCACCACUGGGGAGGAGACACCUUUGCAGGGCACAGCUCUUCCACCAGCUGCUGGCUGCCCUAGUUCAUUGAGUCCACGCCUGCGGAGAUUCAGCCUCACUUUAACAACUGUUCCCCCCAGCCCAGCCACUUACCUCUUCCCUUUUGAAAUCCUUCAAAAGGCAAAGCUGAUUGGGAAUGGGGACAAAGAGGCAGAGGUUUCUCAGAAAUUCAAGAAGUGCACAUUGAGGCACAUGUGCCGCUUUCUACGCAUUUAACAAUUGUUAGACAUCGUGUCAAGCCCUUGAUGUUGAUGAUCAUUUAUUCAUCCUACUGUCCCCGGUCUACUCUAAAGGAAACUGAGUCUCAGGUUACAUUUCUUGCCCAAAGUGAUGCAGCAAAUGGCUGCAGACCAUUUGCCUCUGAAGUCGAUGGUCCUUAAUCAAUAUUUUAAAAAAUCCAUGCAUUUUAAGUGUAAAAUUUGGUGAAUCUUGGCAGUUUAUAUAGUCAUGUGACCACCGCAUGUAAUUGUCACCACAGUCAAGAUACAGAACAUUUUUAUCACUCUAAAAGUCUCCUUGUGCCUCUUUGCAGGUGAUGCCUUGCCCCAUCCCUACCCCCAGCUACCACUGAUCUAAUAGUGUCAGUCCCUAUAGCUUUGCACUUUCUAGAAUUUCAUAAAAAUGGGAAAAUAAUCCUAUCAGGUAGUCCUUUGUGCUUGACUUCUUUCACUGAGCAAGUUUUUAAGAUGCAUCCAGGUUACCAUGUAUGUAUUGAUACUUUGUACUUUUUAUUGCUGACUAUAUUAUAGUAUGGAUAUAUUACAAUUUAUUUGUCCAGUUAACAAUCAAUGAGUUUCCAGUUUGGAGUGAUUACAAAUAAUGCUACUAGAAACAUUCAUGUUCAAUUCUUGGAGUGGACAUAUUUUCAUUUCACUUGGACAAACAUAGAGAAGUAGAAUGUUGGAUCCUACAGAUAUGUUUAACUUUAAAAGACAAUACCAAACUGUUUUCCAAGGUGAAUGUAUCACACUGCCUUCCCACCAGCCGUGUAUGACAGUUCCAUCUGAUCCACAGCAUCACCAAUACUUGGCAGUGCCCAUCUUUUUCAUUUAGUCAUUCUAGUAGGUUUGCAGUGGUAUGGUGUGGUGAUUUUAAUUUACAUUUCCCUGAUAACUAGUGAUGCUCAACAUCGUUUCAUGUGCUUACUGGCCAUUCAUACAUCUUCUUCUGUGAAGUGUCUGAUCAAAUGCUUUGCCCACUGUUUUAAUUGAAUAGUUUUUUUAUUGUUGAGUUGUAAGAGUUCUUUACAUAUUCUGGACAUAAGCUUUUUAUCAGAUAUAUAUUUUGCAACUAUUUUCUCCCAGUCUGUGGCUUAUCAUUUUCUGAAAUGCUUAAUGCCAUUUUAAAUGGACUCUUAAGAUGAUCUCAGUAUCAUCAAUGUGACCAGUACAAUGUAUGUCCCAAAUCCUGAAGAGGCCAAUGUAAAAAUGCUGUCUCCUCACUAUAACGGCAGUGUUAAAAAACAUAGUGCUAGAUUCCAAAAAAUCAACUCUAGAAAGACAUCUUUGAGACAGUUGGAGAAAUCUGAAUUUGGGCAGGCUAUUACAGGAUUUGCUGUUAGUUUUGUUAGAUAUGAUAAUGGCAUGGUGAUUAUACAUAUUUUAAAAUGUCCUCAUAAGUUAUACACUGAAAUAUUUAUGGACAAAAAAUCCAAGAUGUCUAGACUUCUUUAAAAUGUUUCAGAAAAUAUAGUAUGGGGAUAGAUGAAACAAGAUAGGCAAAAUUGUUAAAGCUGGCUGAUAGAUAUAUGGUAGCUCAUUAUACUGUUCUUUCUACUUGUGUGUAUAUUUGACAAUUUCAAUAAUAAAAACAUUUAAAAAGUAGUACUACAUUUGCUUUAGCCAUCACGGCAUGCUCACAAAUUCAGUAAGCAAUCUGAAGCUGCCUGAGUUGCACGCUUUUGAAAGACUGUAACUUGUCAGUUCUAAAACAAAGGUGGAGGGGCGGUGAUACUUUUGAAAAGGAGCUUUUAAGGCCACUGGUUCUUGGCAGUUGCAAACCUUGUAAGCCACAGAACCACACAAAAUCAGCACACAUAAUACGGCCAUUAUACACAUUCAAGAGGGACAUUAUGAAAUCUUGCCUUUAGGAUGCAACAAAUCCUAACACAUAUUAGCUCAAAGAAAUACUUUCAGGUCAACAAACCAGAUCUUGUUUCUAGGCAGGGUUAAUACAACUCUUCUACUGAGGAUGGUUAGCAGUGAGUAUAGGAAAUGCCCUCAAUGCAUCUUACAAAAGGAAAAAAGAAUCCCUCUGAGAGUGAACUGAUGCACUUAAGGCAGUAUCAGCUACUAGAUAAUGGAAAAGGCUUCCUUGGGUCAUAUCAGCCUCAGGUCAAAUCUCCUCGGAGCUCUGAAUUAUGCUCUCAGUUUAGUCCCUCAGCAUGAAGUUCUAAAGCCCAUGAUUCCAAACCAUGCAUCCUUGCCUCCUGCAGACCAGCCUGAGUUGGUGGCUCAUUCAGAAUGCACCAUUUUAGAGUUGGAAGGACCCUCGAUAGUCAUACCAUCCAGGGGAUCUCAAGCUUGGAUGGGCAAGAAACACAUGCUCUGGAGAUCUUGACUAGUUUGCCAACUGUUCUUCCCCGGGUUCUACAGGAUUUUCUGAAGCCAUAUCAAAGUUUUCUAACCAUGGGCUUAAUGUAAACAUCUCUUCACAUAAAGGAUGACAAGGACUUGCUGAAGUGGCUUGCCCAGAGUGGCUUGGCAAAUGGGCGGCAGGAGCCAGGCAGAGACCUUAAGUCUCUGGACUUCCUAAGUCUAAGAAAGGCACUGCAGGAGGCUUGUCAAUGAAGGGUGGGGGGCUGUUAACUCCCUGUCCCCAGAACUGGCCUGAAUGCUGCCACAAAUGACCGGUGAAGAAAACAGACGUGGCGAAUAAUAAAAUCUGUUUGAAAUAUUUUUAAGGCAAUGGAGAGUAAAUGAAAACACAGACAAGGUAAGGGUUGAAUAAUCUGCCGUGAGGAACAUGACAACUUCCCUGAGGCGAAAGGAGACCUGGGCCUCCUCCGCCGCCGCCAGCUGAGCUCCUCACUAGCCCUCUGCCACGCACUCCUCUGCUGUCUGGCAGCAGGGUUAAGGUGGACAUCCCCAAAGAGAAAACCUUGCAGCUCUGGGUUCUAGUCAAAUCUUUUUAGACAUAGACACGGGCAUUCAUGUUUCCUGACAUGACAUUAAAAAAAAAAUCCCCCCUGGACUUGUGUUUAGAUUGUACUUUUCGGAGCGGGGGCAUUCAGAUGGUGCCUUCCACGUAACUUAAGGUCAAACAGAAAAGCUAACUCCUCAAAAGGGUAACUUAGGCAUAUAAGCAUUACAUAACAUCGCUUUCAAGUUGGUCCUUAAACUGACUCAUUACCCAUACAUGUCUGCUUCCGUUGAUGUCUGCAUGAUUAAGCUAAAGAGUGGAGCCUGAAACUUACUCCUGUGUGGUUUUUGGGCUCUUUAUCCCAUUCUCUGUCACAUAAGGUGGUUCCUGGCAGGUUGUUCUAUGCGUAUGUGAGGUGAUCUGCCAAAAAGCUCUGAUGAAAAAUUUAGCCGGGAGGUGGACCUCCCAGGUGGCUGCUGUGGAUGUCAGAAAAGGGGCCAUGAAUGUAUCACAGAAGAGGAGCUUUGAAUGCUUGUCGAGGGGCCCCAAAUAGCAAAAUGCCCACCUCCAAAUUGUCUGCCUUUUCUCAGCAAAAUGUGUAGCCUGGAAGGAGGUAGGCUGGGGGGAACCCAGAAAGACCAUAAUCAUCAUGUUUUGUUAUGUGAAUAAUGGCAGGUACCUCUUAAUAGACUAAACAUUGUACAGUCUGCAGUCAUUCAAGUCCUGCCUCCCCUCUGACCCCUGGCAAAAAAAAUAUUCCAGAGAUUUCUUACAAAUUCUUUAGUCUGAAAUCAAUUCCAGAAGUGCGGUGUGGAAACACAUAUACUGGACUGAGCAUCAAGACGUCUACGUUUUAGGGUUAGCUCUGCCAUUAGUUAGCUAUGUGACUUUGGCCUGAUUUCUUAACUGCUCUGAGACAUAGUUUCCUCAUAUAUAAAAGAAGGGGCUGAUUAAGAGACUUUCUCACAGGUUUAAUAGUAUCUAGCUGCUUCUCUUUCUUUCCUGGUUAAAAAAAAUGGAUAAAAAAGUUAAAUUAUUUUAAGUUAGAUUUAAAACUAAAUCUAUGGUAACAGCUACAAUCUCCUCUUGUCUGAAUGUGGAUAACUGGGAUCCCCAGUACUGCACCAAUACAUCCAGGAACCACAACUGAGAUGCAAGUCCUAGCCUUCCUGCUGCUUCUAAUAGGAUUUUUGAAGUUAAAGAUAUGGGUACCUCCUCGGACUCCCUUAAACGGGUAGAAAAACGCCACCAGCAGGUUCAUCAGGACGGCCAGGUUAAACGAAAUGCUGCUCCAGAAAGACAUGUUGCGGGCACACCAGUACAACACGGGCUGGGCUGCAGAGACAAAGGCAAAGCCGCGUGAGGCUGGAGACCCCAAGCCGGAACGCCAGGAAUGCAAUGUGGCCCUUCCGCCAGCUCUGCCCCACAAGUCCACUUUUGUUCCCGGUUUUUACCACAAGAGUAAAAAUGAUCAUUUGUUUGGAACUUGGUACAUAAUGACAUCAGAUUGGUUUAUUUCUGUGUGGAGUACUUACUGGAACAGAAGAUGUAUUGGGGGUGGAGUAAGGAGAGAGCAAAAAGAGAAAAGUUGGAGCAUCUAUAAACCCUGCAUACCCCAGCCGCAGCCAUCAGUUGCGGAAUCUGGGGGUUAUCCAGAGUUCACACAUUGAGUCCUCGGUUCCCCCUAGGGCUCUGGGACCAGAUGAGAUGCCCGGAGAGACCCAAAAAUUCAAUUAGCUUUUUAGAAGUGUGGGGCACUGGGGAGGGGUGGGGGAGAUACAGCAUUCAGAGUCAGCCCCGCUGGGCCCCAGACUAGGGCUGGUAUCAUUUCCACAUUCCUCUCUGGCUCAACAUGCUCCACUAACACGCCAGUGCCUAAAAGCAAGACAAUGAUUCCUUUCCCGGCAUUGAGUCAUCUGCCAUUUCCCUGAAGUUGGAUGAUCAUUCUUGAGGACAGGGAAGCGAGGGGUACAAGUUGCUGACCUCGUGGUCAGCAGCAGAGUUCCCAUCUCCAGGGCUGUGGCAGAGAGAGGAUGUGGCAGCAAAGCCAUCACAAAGGGGCAAGAGACAGAGACGCUUUGGACAUUGCUGCCACCUUAAUCCACCGCUGCCCACAGGUUAUCCCACGCUGGCCGGGCAUUCUCAGUCUUAGAACAACAAACACUUGGUUACAGGGGUGCCUUUUUCCCUGAACUCUUUUUCAGUGGUGCUUUACACUUAGGGUGAUGCUCCAAAAUAGACAUGGUAGGCAUAAUUUCAGUGUCCAUGUCACAGGCAAAGUUUCCAAAAGACAGUCUCAUUCCACAUCAUCCCCCUCCAGAGAAAAGCAUGGAGUACGUGAGAAUGGAUCUCGAUCGUAUAUUUCUUUUUCCCAAUGAAGUCAUCAUGUAACUUUGCGACAGCAGCCAAUGACAAAUCCAACGGCCUUAUAAUAAUGCUUGUAGCAGCAGCCAAGCCUUUGGGAGCUUCCAACCAAAAUAAAAUUAUGGUACAAUUAAAUAGAGCCCUGGGUAAUUUAUUAAUCGCCCAUAUCAUGUUUGCACUUGGUAACAGGCAAUGUUUCCAAACUGUAGAGUUUUAGAGCCAUGAGCAAUCAUCUAGUUUAAAAUCCCUCAUUGUAUAAAUGAGGGAAACUGAGGCCCAGCACAGGGCAGAAGCAGUGGAGAUCUUGUUAUCCAGGUUAGUGAUCCUCUGGGGUCAGCGGCAGGGAUAAAAAUAAAUGACCCAUGUGACAAUUGAAUGGGGGGCCAGCCAGGACCCAGUCAACCACUACGUAGCAAUGUACUUUCUUUGGUAAGUUGAUUGCUGAAGCAAAUUUAAGCUGAGACAUUUAUCUGCUCUAGAAACAACAGCUAUUGUGUUUCUUCUGGGACUGAAGCCCAUUUCCGAUCUGGAUAUGUAAACUCCAGAAGAGGACAGAAGAGAUGAAUGGCAAAGAGUUGAUAACCGCUGAAGCUGAGUGAUGGAUAUGUGGGAAUCUGAAAUAUCCUCUCCACACUAGUGUGUGUAUAAAAAGCUCAUAAAACAAAGUUGGGGGGAAGAAAAGGAUCUGGCAAAGCUCAGUGAUGGUCUGUGUAAGCCAGCAUUCGUUUCAGAGGGAGUGCUCCGUAUCAAAUGUGAGUGCGUGUACUGCAGGAUACGCUAAUAUGAUUGUAAUAAAUGGUCUUCAACUAUGGCAUAUAGUUCAUGAAAUGAAUCUUAUUUUUAUAAGGCUAACAUUCUACUUAAGUUGUAAUGUUGUUUUCAAUCUGGACAAACAUUCAGUCCUUCAAAUCAACUAGGUAUUUAUCCAGGUGCAAGAAGAUACUUAGAGACCAAUCUUGACAUGCAAUGUCUUUUAUUUCCUGUGGCACAUGGAACUAUGUCCCUAUCUACCUUUCCAGACACUUCUCCCACUCCCCUUCCCCAUAUACUCUGCCUUUGUAUCCCAAUCUAGUGGUGGUUCCCGAACACACCCCGCACUCUCCAGCCUCUGCACACUCGCUUUGUGUCAAUUUAAAAAUAUGUUCAUGAAUUAUUUGAUCCUCCUCCCUUCAAGUGGUACAUCUUAAUUUCCCUUCCACUUGAGUAUGGGCUGGACUUAACAACCUGUUACUAAUAAAUAAGAGUAGAGUGAAACUGCUGGUUCAUGCCUUCUGAGACUAGGUGAUAUUAAUAAAAACACUGUGGCUUCCUUCUCCUCCCCUCUCUCUCCCUCUCCCUCUGUCUCAUCAAUAAUUUGCUCUGAGGAAAUCAUCUGCCAUGUCAUGAGGAUGCUGAAGCAGACCUAUGGAGAGGUCCGUGUGGAGGGGACCUGAGGCCUCCUGCCGACAGCCACGUAAGAGCACCAAGGAGCGGACCCUGUAGGUCCACUUAAGCCUUCAAAUGAUGGCAGCCCUGGCUGACAUCCUGGCUACAACCCCAUGAGAGACCUGAGCCAGAACCAUCCAGAGGAGCCACUCCCAAGUUCCUGACCCCAAGAAACUAAGAAAAUACUAAGCCCCAUCAGUCUCAGACGGAUCUCACUACGUGUCUGAGUCCUAGCUGCAGAUUUACUGAAGAACAGAUGAUCCUCUGCAAUACAUUCAGGAAAAGAGAGAUGCCACGUGGGAGAGCAUGGAAGAGUCAGUAUGCCCCCCACCACCAUGAUGAUAAACCCAUGGACUUGGUGUAUGGCAAUGGCCCUCAACAAUGCAACCUGCUCUCCAAGGUCUCAGGAUCCAUCCAUCCUGCCUGUGCUCCCUGGUUCGUUUUCCCUCCAGCCACUGCCAAAUGCCAGGACACAAGUCACCACCUCCCCUAUGCUUAGCCUUGUCAUCCUCCAUGUCAUUGAGGCCUUCACGACUCCCACUCUGGAACCAAGCAAUCAAGGCCUCUGAAUUGCACUGUUGCACUGACCGUUCACCUCCUUACUGUCUGCCUUAUGCAGAGUGCAAGCUCUGUGAAGGCAGAUGCCUCGCCUGAGUGGUUUCCAGCUGCCCCCAGAGCACCUAGAAGAGGCCCAGCAAAUAGAAGGCACUCCAUGAUUAUUUGAUAAAAGAAUGAAUAUAACCCAACACUUUAUGGCUCCCCAUAACUGGAUGCCCCCCUCCCCAUGGUCAGAUCCUUUUUAUAUUUGGUGGACAUGACAGAAAUAAAUCUCCAAAAUAAAUGAAUUCUAGAAAAUUGCUCAAAUAUGAGAAAGCAACUUUCAGUUGUUCACUUCUUUGAGAGCUCUUGAACCCUCAGGUCAAUAAAGGAGACAAAAAAAUCAUGGGGGCAAAGAAUGCAACCUGAAGCCACCUAAUUAUGGUGACUGAAUUUCUCACCAAGACAGACCAUCCAACAUCUCACCCAUGCGGGCUUACAGAGGACUGCCCGCUAAAGCUGGGGUGCACCAGAAGGUGGCCGUGCAGGGCCAUUCGCUUCAGCUGCUAUCCCAGCUGUGUUCUCAUGGCAUGGAAGCAGCUUUAAAAGCAUUUUGGGACAAUCUGGUCAUUCAAGGAAACAAAAGCCCUUCAAGUAAGUAAGUAAAUGAAUAAAUAAAGCCCGCCAUCUGUUAUCUGACAGCAGCGCCACGCGACACACACAGAUAGCCUGCCACGGACCGCGCUGUCUGACGGCCAAUCGGGUGACCCAAUGGCUGUCAACCGCUAGGGUCAGGGUAAGGGAAGCUCUUAUGAGAUGAGACAGGGCCAGGCGCUGAGAACGCCACAUUGCUGUGUGUGUUUCCGCCACGGUCACUAGGUUUGUUUCGCAUUACUGAUUCCAGUCCUCAGUCGCUCAAGGGUUCGAAGCAGCUUUAUUGAUAGAAUGUGCUCAAUAAAAUAAUAAAAUGGAUAAUAAGGUCUAGAAGACACAAGUAAGCACAGAAAAUCAAAAAGAGAAUAGGUUGGGAACUGGAGAAUGGGGAAUGAGGAUUCAGAGGAGUCCCAGGCUGGGCUCUGAGGUCAAGAUGAAAUGAGAGGUGUGCUCAGUUACACUACUCUUGGUAUCAAAAGGAGAUAUACAACCAGUGCCUCAACGGAAGGAAGACAUUUCUUUUUUUUUUAUUCUGUUCAAGUAAUUUUUAGAAACUUUUUAAAUUUGUUAAGUUCUGGGGUACCUAUGCAGGACGUGCAGGUUUGUCACAAAGGUAAAUAUAUGGUGGUUUGCUGCACCUGUCAACCCACCCAUCACAUACAUAUUAAGCCCAGCAUGCAUUAGCUCUUUUUCCUAAUGCUCUCCCCCAACUCCUGCCUCCCCCAACAGGACCCAGUGUGUGUUGUUCCCCUCCCUGUGUCCAUGUGUUCUCAUUGUUCAGCUCAUACUUGUAAAUGAGAACAUGUGGUGUUUGGUUUUCUAUUCUUGCAUUAGUUUGCUGAGGAUAAUGGCUUCUGGCUUCAUCCAUGUCCCUGCAAAGGACACGAUCUCAUUCCUUUUUAUGGCUGCAUAGUAUUCCACAUUUUAUGGCUGCAUAGUUUAUGUACUAUAAUUUCUUUAUCCAGUCUAUCAUUGAUGGGCGUUUGGGUUGAUUCCAUGUCUUUGCUAUUAUGAAGAGUGCUGCAAUAAACAUAUGCAUGCAUGUAACUUUAUAAUAGAAUGAUUUAUGUUCCUUUGGGUAUGUACCCAGCAAUGGGAUUGCUGGGUCAAAUGGUAUUUCUGGUUCUAAAUCUUUGAGGAAUUGCCACACUGGGAAGGUGUUUCUUAACAGAGGAAUUAGCAGGGCAGGUUUUGCAGUCAGACUGCCUGGGUGUGAGUCCCAGGUCCUUGACCCACUGGCUCUGUGGACUUGGGCACACUGCCCAGCCUCUCUGAAUCCACAUAGAAGGGCUGCCAUGAUGCAUGCCAAGUGCUUAGUACAGUGCAAACUGAUGGUGUUAAUUUUGUUUUUCUACUACCAUUACAUUAGUAGAAUGUGAAAACUCCAAGGUGAAGGUGAUCCUGUGAGCAGCUAGGACAGGAGAGCAAAGUGAGAGCUCUGUUUCCAGAGUCAGAAAGGCCUGGAUCUCAGCUCCACCGCUUACUAGCGAGUGUCACCUUAGAAAGUGACAAUGUCUCUGAAACUCGAAUCUUCUCAUCUGCAAAAUGGGCAAUAAUCGUACUUCAUGGAUGGUUGUGAAGGUUCAAUGAGAUCACUACAGUAACACGAUAGCUAACACUCACUGACUGCUUUCAAGCUACCAGGAGCUCAGGCAAACCUUCACAUGUUAUCUCACCCAAAAACCCAUGGAGCUAGUUACAAGGCCUACCUGGGCAACAUAGUGAGACUUCUGUCUCAAUGAAAUAAAAAAAAUUAAAAAGGUACCCCCGAAGAAAGAAGUGGGGUUUCUAGAACAGAAGCAGUGGUAUCUAUUGCAAGAGUAGAAGUGAAACAUGAUGGUAGUGUGGGUAAAGAACUAACAUACUUCUUCUUAGAAGGGGCGUGCCCUUGGAGCGAAGGGAGGCAGAGGGCCCUCAGGGAGGGCCUUCUGGAAUUGCUGGCUGUGGCUGCUGGAGGCAUUCACCUGCCCCCUCUGCUACCUGGUGUGACCUAGACUUAGAGAGACAAGAGCCCUCCACACAGUCACAGACCUGUUCAUUAAGCCUCUUUCUGUAAUGAUGCGUUUGCAGGGCUUGGGUGGGGAAUGGAAUGUUCUCCUCAGGACUGUCUCCCUAUGGCUGGUGGGAGCUGAGAGCAGAGAAGGUGGGUGCACAGCCUCCCCGCCCCAGGCUCCUGAAGCACGGCCCCUCUACCCGCUACACUGCCUCCCUCUCUCCCUCCCGGAACCUCUUUCAAUUCAUCACUCUUCACCCAGACCAAGAGCAAAUCAUCAGAGAUUUUACUUUUCCAAACUUUUCACUCCACCCCACCUGGCAGGUGUGAGGUAGCCCUUCAACAUAAACCUGGCCCAGACUGGGAAACAUCAGGUGAUGGUGAGAGAAAUCAAAAUGGUGGUUGCUAGGUACCCAUCAACAGUGGGCUGCGUAAAGAAAACGUGGUACAUAUAAAACAUGGAAUACUACACAGCCAUAAAAGAGACUGAGAUCAGGUCCUCUGCAGCAAAAUGGAUGCAGCUGGGGGUCAUUUUCCUAAGCAAAUUGAUGCAGGAGCAGAAAACCAAAUACUACAUUUUCUCACUUGUCAGUGAGAGAUAAACAUUGGGUACUCAUGGACAUAAAGAGGGGAACAACAGACAGUGGGGAGUGCCUGGGCGGGGGCAAGGGCUGCAAAACUCUUGGGUACAAUGUUCACCACCUGGGUGAACCCCCCCAAACCUCAGCAUCGCACAAUAUACCCAGGUAACAAACCUGCACAUUUACCUCCUGAAUCUAAAAUAAAAGUUGAAAAAAACACCAAAAUGGUGGUUGCCUCUGGAGGGUGGGGGGUUGUGAGUAGAAAAGGACUAUAAAUGGGAAUGAGACAACUUUCUAGAAGAAAAUAAAUGUCUUGAUUAGGUUGGCAGUUUCACAGGUGUGGUAGACAGAAUGGUCCCCGCAGACAUGUCCAUGUUCUAGUUCCUGGAACCUGUGAAAAUGCUGUCUUAUGUGGCGAAGGGGAAUUAAAGGUGCAGAUGGAACAAAAGCUGCUAAUCACCGACCUUAAAGUAGACAGAUGAGCUUGGAUUACCCGGGUGGGCCCAACAUAAUUACAAGGAGCCUUCGCUGUGGAGGCAGGAGGCAGGAGAGGAGGGUGGCGAGAGGCAAUGUGAGAAGGACUCCAUUCACCAUUGCUAAACCUGAAGAUGGAGGAAGGAGCCACAAGCCAAGGGAUGUGGGUGGCCUCUGGAAACUGGAAAAGGCAAGGAAGCCUUCUCCCCUAGAGCCUCCAGAAAGGAGCGCUGGCCUGCCAACACUUGCUUUAGUCUAGUCUAGUAAGACUCAUGUUGAACUUAUAAAACAAUACAUUUGGUUCCUUUAAGCCACUCAGUUUGUAGGAAUUUGUUACAGCAGCCACAGAAAACUGGUACAAUGGGUAUAGAAACAUUUGUCAUAUCGAAUCAAAGUCUACAUUUAAAAUCUGUGCCUAUGAUUAUAUGUCAAUUAUAUCACAAUAAUAAUAAUUAAAAAAAGAUAACAGAAAGUCUGCUUUGUUCCCAGAAAGCUGGGGAACUCUGUAGAGGGGCCACCUUCUGAGGCUGCCUCUCCACCAGAGGGAACGGCAUCUGCCCCCGCCAGGCCGACCUCUCCUCACCCUCCAGUCGUCUCCAAAUCACAUUUGAUUCCAGAGCCCUUUCCAUAUAAGCUGUCUCACCAGAGUCUUAGGAGAUUGCCAAGGCAGAUAUCAUCAUUCAUAAAUCUGUCACAUUAUAGAUGAGAGAGCUGGGGUUAGGAGAGGUCAGUGACUUGUGGCAGAGCCACAACCAACUCUCCUCCCAUCUGCACGUUGAACCGACACAGACAACCAGCCCCAGCAGUGAGGCCGGAGUCAAAGGCUGGGAAAGCAGAAGACACAAAGCUGGUCUGCGGGCAGAUCCUCAGCACCAGUCCCAGACAUCCCUGAUGACAGAUCUGAUCAGAUACGCUUUAAGGAAAAGGCCAGGGCAGGGGCAGGGGCAGGGUGAGGCAGUGACCCCGGCAGUGGCUGUUUCCAUCCUGAAUCCACUGGACAGGGGGAAAGGGAAGUGGGCAUGGCUGCUGUCAGCCAACCUUCAACCACAACAAAAGAGCAAGAGAACACAGAUCACAGAACUCUGCAGCUGGAAGCACUGGAAUCCAGCAGUUUCCAAAUGCCUUUUUCAGCAGGGUAACGUGCUCCUCUCCGGUCCCAAAACACCAUCUUAGGAUAAAGACGCCGCUAGAUAAAAGACAAAAGGCAAAACAGCUCCAUAUGAAGCAGAGCAAAGAGGGUCCCCUCCCUCUUGCCAUUGAAACUCCUUGGAACUUCAGGAGAGCAGCACUUGAAAACCACCCAUGUCGUCCAUCCUUCCACAUUUCACAGAUGAGGAAACUGAAGCCCAGAAAGGGAAAGAGACUUGCCAGGGCCACACAGAACCUCCCUCCCCUGACUGCCCAAGACAGUUACUUUUGACCACACUGGGGUGUGGCUGGUUGAAACUACAACCCGAGUUUACAUUCUUACCUUCUGAUAAUUGUCAAGUAGACAGUUUUCCCUCCUUGGGUUGACUGAGCUGUAGAGGGGCCAAUGAAUCCGGGUCUUAGAUUAAAAGAAUAACAAAACUACCUUUUCAGAUCAGCCUUGAAAAUAAUAUAAUAUUGCUUAAUUAGCCUGGCUCCCCCAUCCUCCCCCAGCCCUGCAAGUCCUUGCAAAGCCAUGGAGCGUGGUUAUGACGAGCCUGCCUUGCUUCAGGAACAAGAGCCACCCCGAGGUUAGGGGCUAGUGGACAGUGACGGCCACCUCGGUGACAGCAGGGAGACAGAGGGCCUGGAAUUAUCACUGGAUGCAAGUUGGACACCAGUCUUUGGCCAUUUACAUAACACCCACCUCCUUUCUGGAUCCACCUAUCUUACCCUUCCCUGGAAAGGGGUAUUAUUGUUAGACAACUGUAGCACUUUGCAUCUGAGUAGCUCUUGGUAGUAAUCAAAGUGUUUUUGACACCUAACGUUUCAUAACAACCUUGCUGGACCCCAGCUUCCAUGUGAUGCUGACAUGGCAGAUGGUAAGACCCUCAUUUUUCAGCUAACGAACCCAGGGCACAAAUGAGGUUAAGUAAAUUGCCCACGAUCACAUGGCUGGAUAGCAAGGAGCCAAGGCCAUAAUUUAGGUUUCCCGACUUCCAGUUCUCCAGGCACGCUCUGCCUAGCCAGGUGUGUUUUAUUACCUAGUUCAAAGGGGGACACUCCUUUCUUUAGGUGCAAGAGGUCACAGUCCUAAUCAAACUGUGUAAACAAGUGGUCCUGGGGAGGAGAAUAGGAGAGACAAAUCUUCUCCAUGACCUAGACAUAUACCCAUGAAGCCAUCUUUCCCAGAAUUCAGGAAGUUCAGGGGAAAAGACAGGCCUUGCAGUCCAAGGAUCAUGGUGCUCCCUGGAAUGUGAGCCAGCCUACCUGUCCGUUUCUGGGCCACCAGACCAUUCUAGGGGAGGAGCCCCUUUGUGGCAUCUUAGCUGCAAGACAGGGCAGUGGCGGGGAGCAUAGAUGUAUGUGUCCCAGGGUGGAGCCUGGUGGGAGCGGGCAUGGCUUGCGGGGGAGCAGUCCAGCACAGAGUGACGGCUGCAGGACUCAGAUCCUUCCUCAAAGAAAAGCAUUUCCAUCAGCUUCUAAAAGUUGGUCCACCUUUCAGAAGCCCUCGCUCUGGGCCUUGAGAGAAUCCAGAGAAUGGGAUUUUCCACCUCACUGCCUCAUAAGACAUGGCCCUGACCCAUCUAGCCCAUGACACUCACCACGGCUGCUCACUUACCUGCUGCAGAAUGAUUUAAGUUCUCAGGUUAAGGCCAAGAAUUUGAAAAAUGUGGCUGCCAAACAGUGAGCCAAAGCUUGAGUUUCCACAGGCUGAGGAAAAUUCUCUGUGGGCAUCUUUGAUUUUUCUCUUUUCACAUCAACUCUGGGAGUCUCAGGGACUUCAGAGGACAUCUCCCACCAGACUAACCCACUCCUGCCCAGCUUGAACAGAUACUCUGUGGGUGACAGAGCAACGCCAGUGGCUACCAAGAGGUGGGGCUUACCUUGGCUGUCUUCCUACACCUGUGGUGAACUGAGAACUCCCCACUCCCUGGGGACCCUCUCUCUGCAAGUUUUAUUAUAGUGAACGGCAACUGAACGUUUCCGAUUUGCCGGGCGCUAAGCGCUUUAUAUGCAUUAUCUCAUUUCAUCCUCAGAAGCACCCCAUGGGGUAGGUGCCAUUAUCAUCCCCAGUUUACAGAUGAAGAAACUGAGGCCCCAAGAAGUAACCCGCUGAGUCAUCCACCUAAUAAGUGCCCUGGCACCCAAGCCCCACCUGUCCGACGCCUCAGCCCUGUUCCCAACCACAUGCUCUGUUAAACACCUCUCCCCUGAGCAAGAGUCUGUCCUGUUCUGAACACCUUUUGGCAUUUUAUAAUCCACCCCACCCCUACCCCUACCCACCAGGUCUUUCAGAGGCAUAAACAGGCUCCUCUCACAGUAAAGAAUAGUGGCAGAAGGUACACAUGCAUUCGAAUGCCUCAACUUUCCCAUGACGUUUAAUACAUUUGUUAAUAUGGGUUCCCAAACAAUCCCCUUCUGCAAGCUGAAGGGCUGCCAGGGCUGGGGUAAUAAAUUAUUAACAAAACCAUUGUCACACAAUGACUGCUGUGGGUCUGGAGUCCUUUUUUAGAAACCAAUGAUUACAAUCAAAACUCAAAGACCAGGAACCAUGAACUAGGUAAUAAAACACACCUGGGUAGGCAGAGAGUGCCUGGAGAACUGGAACUCGGGAAACCUACAUUUUGGCCUUGGCUCCUUGCUAUCCAGCCAUGUGAUUGUGGGCAAUUUACUUAACUUCAUUUGUGCCCUGGGUUCUUUAGCUAAAAAAUGAGGGUCUUACCACCUGCCAUGUCAGCAUCACAUGGAAGCUGGGGCCCACCCAGCAAGGUUGUUAUGAAACAGUAGGUGUGAAAAACACUUUGAUUACUACCAAGAACUACUCAGAUGGAAGGUGCUACAGUUGUCUAACAAUAAUACCCCUUUCCAGGGAAGGUGUAAGAUAGGUGGAUCCAGAAAAGAGCUGGGUGUUACAUAAAUGGCCAAAGACUAGUGUCCAACUUGCAUCCAGUGAUAAUUCUAGUUGGUUCUGGUAGGUUGAAUGGCCUCUAAAUUGACAGCAAAAACACAAUGAAUGGCAAUUCCCAUUAAGUGUCACAAUGUAGAAUUUUUUUUUUUAAGUUUGGACGGCAUGAAAAAGAACGAGAUCAUAUCUUUUGUGGGAACGUGGAUGGAGCUGGAGGCUAUUAUCCUCAGCAAACGAAUGCAGGAACAGGAAACCAAAUACUGCACGUUCUGGCGUAUAAGUGGGAGCUAGAUGAUGAGAACUCAUGAACACAAAGAAGGAAACAAUAGACACUGAGGUCUACUUGAGGGUGGAGGGUGGGAGGAGGGAGAGGAGCAGAAAAAAUAACUAUUGGGUACUGGGCUUAGUACCUGGGUGAUGAAAUAAUCUGUACAACAAACCCCAGUGACAUGAGUUUACCUGUAUAACACACCUUCACAUGUACCCUCAAACCUAAAGUAAAAGUUAAAAAAAAAUUUGGCUGAAAUUUCACUAGCUAUAAAAGCCAUUCAAAUUUCUGCACGUGCAGAGAUAAACAUCGUUGCUUCCGCUUGUCAAAGUUUAAUACACCCAAAGGCAGAAUACAAGCUUGUGUCAGACCCUCCUCUCAAGUAAUCCCCAGCCUUUCCACAUAAAGCAUUUCCCAACAUUUUAAACCAGUCUCGACUUCAGCAAAAGUCUGACCUAUGAAAAGGGCCUAAUAGUGAGUACAAUGGGCAUUCAGAAUUGGACCCUCCCUUGGCAUAAAUUAUCACUCACCCUAACAAGAAACUUUUUUGCAAGGUCUGAUGGCUUUCAACCAGCCAACAUCUGCAGCUCUCAGUUUACCAGCCUCUCUCAGGAUGUUUCCAGCUUUAAUGAGUUCAGAAAUAACAUAGACUUCCAAGUAGAAAGGAAGCGAUGAAGUGAAGCAAGUCUGUAUUGGAGAGGUGUCAACAUUUCAAUUUCAUUUGUCUGAAAUAAGGUCCUCCCUCAUCCACACUGUACAGUCACCUUUUAACAAGUGAGAGACAAACCAGUUUCAACUACCCUGCCAGGCAAGGGUGGGGCAGACGCCCUUCGCUAUGCCUGACACCUGAGAGAAAAGGUGGAGGACAAAGAACCCUUCCUUCACUCUUAUUAAUCUGGUCACUGGGCUCUGGGGAACGGCCUAAGCUCCAGGGUCAAGGCCAAGGCAGGGGAUCUUCAUGAUGAUUUUCAAGGUGAAUUCAGUCUUCUUCAAGCAGCAAAGUCCAACCUGUUCUAUUAAAAACACUUUUCAGGGUCCAGUAUGGUGGCUUACAGCUGUAAUCACAGCACUUCCGGAGGCCAAGGUGGAAGGACUGCUUGAGCCCAGGAUUUCAAGACCAGCCUGGGCAACAUAGCAAGACCCCAUGUCUAAAAAAAAAAAAAAAAAUGUUUUUAAUUGGGGGAAAAAACACCUUUCUUCUGAGACAGAAAGCUCAACAGCUCUCCUUUCCUGUCUCCCAGUGCCCACGGGAACUGGGACUUACUGGGAAAGCUCUGCCCUAUCUGGUAAGCAGCGUGGUCCCCCUCCACCCUGUGUGGAUCAGAACGCUAACAGUUUCACACAUAUUCAACAACAACUCAACCAACAAACAGUAAUUCCUAAAAAAAAAAAAAAAAAAAAAUUAAAGGUAUUAUCGUAGGAAGCCCCUGAUGGUGUAGGCAGGCUACUGGCAACCACUGUUUCCAGCAAUUUUCAACAGUAAAACCAGAUUUCAGAGAAGCAGGUCAGCCACCACCCUGGAGGACCCUGUGGCUCUGACCCAGGAACAAGAAGUUAAGGAGACUCCAAAUUUUCUCUGGGUUCAAUAGUCAAACAGAUGCCAAAGGCCAGUAUCUUUUGUGGGGAUACACGGCACAGCCGUCUGUCUCUUCCAGCCAAGUCAUGAAGAUUGGAAAGCCUCCAGACAAAACAAAGAUGACCAGUGGAGUGUCAAAUCAACGAUACCCUUGAAAACAGAUGUAAAAUAGAUGCAACAUCAAAAUUUGCCUGAAGUGGAAGGGGACUGUGGUAGGAAGCUCCUUGGUAAUCCUCCAAGAGGGCAAGAAGGUGUUCUGGUGGCUCUUCAAGCCAAUAUGAGGCUUAUUAAAAAGGUACUCUAAAGCAAAGGAGAGUUUGGUUAGAUCUCAGGAAGGACUUUUGUCCAAGGAAUCAGAGGGCUUUAAAAUCUCAGUCCAUAAAGAAGGAAUGAACAAUGUGAACUGCAUGUCUGGGCUGCAGGAGACACAUGCUAGCCUCUGAGGGUGGCUUCCAGGGCUGGUUCUAUGAUUCAAUGACAAGUAUCCUCUGGUGGCUCUUGUGAAACUCUCAGGUCCUGUCUCAGCUCACCCACAUGAUCACUGUGGGAACUGUGGCCAGGAGGACAUGAAGACUUUCUCAUCAGACCUCCACCUUGUCUCAUGAACCCUGAAAAGACAGAUGCAAGAGGUGCUUGGAAAAUUCUAUCAUCAAGUCCUCUUCCCGGGAGGAGGGUCCAGUGCUGAGGACCUGGCAGUGACUUGGGUGCUGUUCCUCCAUGGGGGUGGCAAUCUGCAUCGUGGAGAGCGAGGGCUGAAGCAGGAGUUGCAGGGUCAGGGGAGUCGAUCUCUGGAAACAACUCCCCAGGUCUUAUUUCCAUUCUGUGUACCUGAGGGACAAUGAAUCAACACCAACCAACAUUUCCUGUCCUCAAUGCUCCGAGGUUCCCAGGGAAUUCAACUUGAAAUUUAUACAGAUGCCAAGAAUAAUCCUUGCCACCCCCCCCCCAUUUUCUGUGUUUGUGCAGUCACACGGCUCAGUGAAAGCGAUCUCUAUCCUGCAUCUUUAGCAAGGUAGAAACAUACGCAUAGGGGUGACUUAGGAACUGGGUGGGUUUGGACAGCUCAUUUAUUAACUUCCAUCCUCAGUUCCCUCAUCUGCAAUGGAGAAAGAGGAGGAGAACCACUUGAGAUUCUAUUGCAAGGAGUGCAGGAGAGAAAACAGGUGAGAGCCCGCACAGUACCGGCAGGGUGUCUACACCAGCCACGUUCCCUUCGCUGCUCUCCACACAAACUGUGACAAGGACACUUGGCCAUAGAAGCCGAAAAAAAUAAAUCCACUCAGGCCGGAUGGAGGCAAGGACACUGGCUUAGGUGGCAAAGCAUCAAGCAAAGCAAGUGCCUCCUUGAUGAAGACUGCAGUCACCCCCAGUCAACCCUAGUCCUUCCCAACUCAACUGACUCUCGGGUACAGCCGAGUCUGGUCCCCAGCAGAAUGCUCUGGGACUCUUCAUGUCUCCCCACCCUGCAUCCCCAUCUUGCUGUGUGCUGGCCCACCAGGUAACUUCCACACGGCCACAGAGAGCAUCCCUGGCAGCUGACAGUAAGAUGUACAGAUGGCCAAGCGGUUAGAGCAGGGCAGGGUGAAAUCACACAGCACUCAUCUGGGUAAAGCUGCUUUGUAUAUUAGGGCUUUGGCGGCGGCAGCGCAUAUCCAAGCAGGGGACAGGCCCAAGCCAACUUGGUGCCCUUUAGAAGCACCGACUAGGGAUCGGCGGGAACCACAGAGAUCACCUCAUCCAGCCCCGACUUGAUGACAAGCCCAUCACCCUGGUGGAGCAGAUACUUUCCGCAGCUCUGCCCCUGACCGACCACCAUGGGGUAGACCGCGUUAGCUUCCUUCACUCAGCUCCUCCAACAUCCCAAGCACAAGCCAACCCUCUUCUGAAAUACUCUUGCCCUCUGCUACUCUUCACACAGCUCCUUCUCUUCGCAUCUGUUGGGUCUCAGCUUGAACGGUAUCUCCCCAGAGAAGCCCUCCCUGGCCACGCUUCGUGGCGCCUGUUUGCUUCCCCAUCACACUUCUCUGAAGCUCUGAUUUAGCUGAUGAUGAGCUGAUUUCCUAGCUCUGUCUCCCACAAGACUGUAAGCUCCUGGAGGGCAGGGGCUAUGUUGGUCUCAUCCCUGACUGUAUUGACGCCAAUGUGUAUAGCACCUGACACCCAGGGAGUGCUCAGUAAGUAAACAUCUGCUAUAUUAAGCCGGCUGUGGUGACACAAGCCAGUAGUUCUAGCUACUCCGGAGGCUGAGACAGAAAGAUCUCUUCAGCCCAGGAGUUCAAGGCCAGCUUGGUCAACACAGUAAGGCCUCUUCUCUCUUUUUAAAAAAUUUACUAUAUUAAUGAAUGAACAAUAAUCCUGAAGGAGGUGCAAUUCCGAAACACUCAAGCCAAGCUUUGCAUCCAUGGCAGCUGAAGUAUAACUUUAUGGCCAGAAGAAGCCUGCAUGUGAAAGCUCAAAGUCCUGCUAAGUGGGAAUAUGCAGCACACCGCAGACCAGCCAAAGGCAGCUGAUGUGGUGUUGUCACCUCUACGGGCUUAUCCGGUUUUUGCACGUAACUCUGUGAUGGGCUCAGCCUGGCUGAGGAUCCUUAAUCCAUCGAGUUAACUGUUAACUACCCCGGCCCCAGUGACACAGCAGCUUGCAUGAUUAACUACAGCCCGGGAGGGAUGAUCAUUUGUGCACCUUCCGUCUCCAAACCUGGCUCCCUCCCCAGACUUGAUAGCUACAAGCUCUGGGCUCAACAGUUUGUGGGUUUGUGUUGCAAGGAGGCUAAUAAAAACAUAUUUCUCAAAUACCAUAUGGUGAGGGCAACUGCAACACAUCCUCCUCGAAGAGCAAUAAAAUAUAUAUAUUUUUAAAGUCCUGAAUUCCAGGGGAAAAACGAGGCUUGAAGACUUCAGAGGGUUUACAGGACUAUCCCCUUCAGUGUCAGAGCCAUCUUGAUCAAAAGUCUAAAACCCAGGAAUAGGAAAUUGGUAGAAACUUUGAGAGAGCCUCUGACAGUUUCAAAGAGGAACUCAGAGGACCUCAGGAAAUGUGAGCGGGCAUAGAUUUCUCCGUGAAAAGGAGGGUCAAGGCAGAAGAACCAGAGGCAACUGUGAACAUCAAGUCAGUUCUCAGGGAAGCAGGGGAUCCAAGUGUGUACAUGAGGCGCCUUCACUGUCCCUGCAUCAGGAAUCUAGCUGUUGGCACCUUAUAAUGAGAAAACAGUCUCAACCAUGAAGUUAACUCUGCUGGAAGAUUUCCAAAGGGAAAGUCCCUCCCGUUACUCAGAGGGGAAAAAAAAAUUACCUACUUGGUCUGGAAUCCGGGGAUAUUUUAUGCAGAUGUCUCUAACAGAAGUUAAUAAAGGGAAGUCAGCUUGCCUCUGAUUAUUCAAACAGGCUACUGCUAUUAAGGAUUGCACAACUUCUGGGCAAGGCAGAGGUGGGUUUGGCUUUUUAAAAAUUUUUUCAGCCUGUCCUCAUGGAACUACAUAUUCUUUUCUAAGAACUUUUCAUCCUAACCUCCCUACUCACAUCUUCUAAGUGUCUCUGCUCUGGUGGGAAUGUGAUGGACAACACAGAGCCAUCUCAGAAGCCUCUGUGGCCACCACCAGGCCGGCCAGGGUGCAGGGGGCCACUCCCUGGGCAGCCAUAGGGUUCUCAGCAAGGUGCAUUCGUCGUCCCUGCUGAGAAUCUGAUGGGGCAGCAUUUUUUUUUUUAAUUAAAUGCAAGCUGAGUCAUUUCAACCUGCAACCUUCAGGUAACAGGAGUUACCCAAGCUCCAGGAAUUAUGAUUGUGGGGUAAACCCAUUCUCUUGUUUUCUUGCGGUUCUAUUUUAUAACGCACUAGAGGAGACAGAGACGUCAUUGCUUCACCCAGGGCAAGAGGACAAAGGAGGAUGCAUGGAAAUACAAACAGCCCUUCUCCUCCAGGCCAUACCGACUGUCCAACUAGCAACAGACUUCACCUGGUUUUGGAGCAAUCUGAAUUUGGAAUAUGCCAGAGAAAACUUCUAUCAGGCAAGAUGGAAGACUCCUAGGAUAGGUCUCUCUCAUGGAGGGAUUGGCACGAUGGUAAGAGUCCAGUGGAUGGAAAAGGCCUCCUCCUUAAAGAUGGUGAUGGAAACGAGCACUGCACAGGGAAACACAAAUCAGGGAGCUGUUGUUGGGACAGGACAAGAGUCCACAUCCCCUGCCCAGUGCCUGGUUCUGGGUCAUGUCACCGAAGCGCAUCAGCCCAUCUGUCAGCCAAACCCCACUAGCCUUGUGCCUUCUCUUCUAAAUCCCCGCGGAGGAAAACAACUUCUGCCUUCUACAGUACGAACAGCGAGGGUCUGCUGGGAACCAAUACAACUUCGCGUCCCAGUGCAGCAAUGUUGCCAGGUAACAAAUGUAGAAACAUACUCCAAAAACUGUAUGUGACAAUAUACAACCUCCGCUCUGCAGCUGAUAACCGAGGGAGUGUUAAAACACCGCGUUCUCUUAACACUUGGGUUUUUGGUGUGAAAGUAAAAUUAAACGGGAUACUUCCUCUUGUAAAUAUAAGACAGGCAUACAACUCACACACGUAUCCACUAAUCGGAAAUAGUAGAGGGGUUUGCAAUAGCUAUCUGCAGUGCAUCCCAGCCUUCACUCUUACCCUCAAGAUGAAUUCCAGAAAACCUACAGAAACGAUAACUGAGGAAGAGCCUUUCUUCUGUCGGGGACAAGCUCUCCUCUAACAAUUGUGAGGAAGCUACCCACAAGAAAGACACCAGCAGAAAUUAAGGAAAAGCUCAUGCAUUGUUAUUAAAAAAAAAUGUGCUUCCAUUCCACUCCAUUUUAAAGGUCUACCUUUAAAACUCAUUGGCUAACCAAGCAGUGACUACUUGCUUCUCAGAUCAAAUAACCAGUGCAGCCUGUUCCCACCCCAAACGAAAACAAGAUAGACACUGCUCUCUAGUAGGCAGAGCUCCAAAGUGGGUACAGGGCACUGAAUAGCUCCCUCACAUUGUACUCAUGUAACUUAAAGGCUGGCUAGCAUGGGAGAAAGCUGAGAGACUUCUGAGGGCCUUGUGUUCAAAUCCCAGCUCUGCCAACUGGGUGACUUUGGGUAAGACACAUGGCUUUUUUCAGACUCAGUUUCCUCAUCUGCAAUUGGGACUAUUCCAUGUAGCCCAGAUAGAGUACCUACUGGCUCCACGCACAGUGCUGGGCACUUUAUAAAAUGAGAAGACCUUCCUCCCUUUCCCUUCGCCCAAACAUGAAUAUUCUUCAACCAGUAAAGACUCAGAUGUGGGGAGUAUCUGGUGCAUUUAGCUUCUCUGAGCAAAACGGGCAAAAGCUGAGAUCUAAUAACCAUCACAUGAUGCCAAAGAACAUAUGCUUCUUUAGACGCAAGCGAAAAACAAAAAUCGCUAUUAAUCCAACUUUUCAUAACGGCCCUAAUUAGAUGAGCUGCUGUCAAUCUCUUCCACAGUGAGGAAGUUCUGUAGGACAGUCUUCCUGUCAUUAACUUUCCUAAGACCUGGGAACCUGGAACUUGCUGGAAGUACAUGUAUGUAGCACACAUAAUUGUCAUUUGGCAAAUGAGAUGCCCAGUCUGAAAGGAAAAGUCUUUCAUGAUUUCCUCCUCCAGAAUUCAUGGGCAGACCUUAUAAACAAAGCAAAUACACUGACCACUCGAGCUGCCUUCUGAUUAUCAGGAGGGCACAGUGUCUCCCACAAAGACUCCACUACCAAAGAAAACAAAAUGUGGAGGCACAACUUCCAAUCUGCCUGGCAAACAGACGCAAAGUCCUUGAAGCGGCCAUGUCUGUGCCUGGAAAAUUGGUGGAGUAAGGAGGCGGCAUGGUAGAGAGGUUACAAACUCACGUUCUGGCAGAAAACAAACCCUGGAACAACUACCAGCUGGCUCUGUGACUCUGAGCAUAUAACCUGACCUCUCGGAUCCUCUAUUUCCUCAUUAGCAGAAAGGGAUCAAAACAGUACCUACUACAUAGGCGCCCCAGGAAGAUGGAUGAGACCAUGCAGUGAGGGCGCCUGGCUAGCCCGUGGUACAUGAGCACUUGUUACCACUACUGUCCAUCAUUAUUACAAAGAAGAAGAAAAGAGGACUGCUGCCAUCAUAAGGCUAUUUCUCCAAGUUGACAUGUAUUUCCCAUGGGCUCAGAUCAAUUCCCUCCCACACCUAAAGAAGGUCCCCUUUAAAAUGGCAAUAAUCAUCAACAACACAAGUUCACAUUUCACAUCCUCAUGUUUCUAUUCAAAAAUGGUAAGAAGGCUAAAGUAACACGGUGGCCACACUGGGUCAGAACUUCUAUCUCUACAUUUACAGUCUGAGUGCUGGGGAGUCAGAUGGAGACUUGACCCCGGAAGAAAGUGCACCCUUGGGCGAGUUAGUGGGUGAGGGAAGAUAAACAACCAAAAAGUAAGCAGAGUUGCUUUGGAUGAGCUGUUACGAUGUGUUAAAAGCUCCAUGCUGAGCUGAGUGCCUUCCACAUAUUAUCUCAGUGAAUUCCCAGAAUAGUUUAUACAGUAGGAGUAUCCACACUGAUUCAUCAUGUACACACUGAGGACCUUUCAUCCAGCACGUGUGGAGGCUCCUCGAGGGGACUCGGAGUGAAGACAGACUUGGUCUCUGCCCCCUCGGGUCUUACAGUCAAGCUCCAGUUGAAGUGUGGUCAUUACUACAGUAAAUGAAGCACAACCCAUUAUCUCUGCCUCAGGGGAUCAAGAGGAAGUUUCUAGAGUAGGAGACAUUUCAAUCAGGGCUUGGGGAGCCUGCCAAAGGGAAUGAGGGCACGUCCCACAUGAAGCAAAGGCAUCUGAGUUCAUGGCCCCGCUGGGGAUUGGCAGGCAUGAGUUGCAGCUGCAGGACAAUAAGCGUAGGGGAGUGAGUGGAGAAACCCAGGUGGGGCCAGACCACGUGAGGCACUGAUGGGUUCCAUCAGGGUGGCCAUGGGCUCCAUACUCCACAGAAGGCUGUUCAGAUGGGGAAGCAGGUAGUGAGGGUUCCAUUUGGGGGGCAUCACUGACAACCGCGUGGAAGAGAGAAAUGCCCAGAGGCAGGAGGCCACUAAAAGGCUAUCUCAGUUAUCCAGGCAAAAAGGCUGACAGGUGCAGAUCUCAGCAGCCCUAUGCUGGCAGGCGGUCGAGCCUGGUGGUCAAGAAUAUGAAUCCUGAAGUAACAGUGCCUAGUUUCAAACCGCUGCUCCUCCAUUCCCAGCUGGGCCACUCUGAAUUCACAGUGCCAACUAUCUGGCUCAUUAUAAGUCCUAACAAUGGUUAAACUCCCAGGAGGUAGAGUGGGCACAGAUUAGUUCCUGGAGAAAAGCAAGAGAAAAAGAAGUCUGAUGACUGCAAAGCUUCUAGCUUGGGUAUCCUUGGCUGGUGGUGAGUCCACUGAGAAAGCUAUGGAACACGAGAGGGCAAAUAGAAUGGAGGAAGGGAGAUGACAGUGUCAUGGGGUCCUGCUAACUUAUAGCUAACACAAGUGGAGAUGCCCAUCAGGGAUUUGAGCAGAAAUCUAGAAAUCGGCAGAGAGGUGGGACCGAGAGCUGUAUCUUUGGGAGGUGUUGGCAUAAAUGGCUGCUGGAGGCCUGGGCAGUAGAUGAGAUUACCCAAGGGGAUCGGUAGAAAAAGAAGGCAAACAGGCUGGAGAUGGGGCCUCAAAACAUUUCAGAUGUUUUAAGGUCAACCGUAUAUGCCCUGAGAAGUCCCUGUGUUUACCACUAGGAAAACGUUUGUAGGAGGCACAGAAAUAGCACAGCAUUAAGCCAUAAGGGAGUGACUAACCUGAAACCAUGAUGCUUUGGGGUAGGACGGUCAGAGGGGGCUCACAGAUCCAAAGUCUGUAAUCGCAGGUGUCUGGACUCUCAGGCUACAUAUACAAUUUCCUAAGGAAUGUCCUGCUUUGUCUGCGUCCCGAAUCUGUGUUGAAAGAUAGUAAACUGGGGUGAUGGAGUACAUCCUGGCAGAGGCUAUGUGGGGAGAGCAGAGAUGACUCUAGGGAAGAAAACGUCUUUUAAAAAACAACCCUGUCUGCUCCCACCAAAAGGAAGAAAGAAAAGAAAGAAAAAAAUGAAGGAAAAGGGGAAAGGAAGGGAAGGAAAGAAGGGAGGGAGGAAGAGAGGGAGGGAGGGAAGGAGGGAAAGAAAAAAAAAAGACAGUGAGAAAGAGAGAGAAAGAAAGAAAACACAGAAAGAGAAAGGAAAAGAAAGAGAUAAAGAAGAAAAGAAAGGGAAGGAGGAAGGAAGGAAAGAGAAGGAGAGAAGGAGGGAAAGAGGGGAACGAAGGAAGGAAGGAGGGAGGGAGGGAAGGAAGGAAGGAAGGAAGGAAGGAAGGAAGGAAGGAAGGAAGGAAGGAGGGAGGGAGACAGAGAGGGAGGAAGGGAGGGAGGGAGGCCCCAGCCUGUUUCCCUGAAUUCCCAUUUAUUAGCUGAGUAAGUGGCCAACAUAUCUUGGGACUUAGGAUAUUGCUCAUCUGGUGAAUAUUUACUUAAAAAUUGCCAUACCAGGGGAUGAGGAGCACAGAACAAAGGGGAAAUACUGUGGUUCUUUCCCUUAGGCAGUUUAACAUCUACAUAGUAAAGAUUAAACAAACCCUAGGGUCAGCAAACAUUUUUCCAAAGGGCCAAAUGGUAAACAUUUCACACGCUGAGGGUCAUUGCAGCUAUCUGUCACAACUACUCAACUCUGCCCCUGAAGCAGGAAAGCAGUUAGGACAAUCCCAAAGGAAAAACUGCAGCUAUGCACCAAUAAAACUUUAUCUACAAACACAGGCAGCUGUCUGGAUUUUUCCCGUGGGCUACCAUUUACUAAUCCCUGAACCUCCAGAGGAAGACUGACCAAUCCUCUGCCUGGCAGUUCCCAAGAGGCAUCUCACACUCGGAAGUCACUAAAGAAAGUUAGGAAGAGCACAGACCUCUUGCUAGACCAGAAGGAAGAGAAAGAAAUAAGGAAUAUCUGGACCUGUUGAGGAUUCAGUGGGAUAAAAUGAAUUGAUGCCUCACUUUACAAAAAUUUCCAGGUCUUCUCUGUCAUUUUUCUCUGCACUUUUAGUAAAAUUUUGGAGACUGUGGAAAACCUGAGGUUCUCUCUGAAGACAUCUCCUCUUAGAAACAAAUUCCUAGCCAGCGUGGUGGCUCACGCCUGUAAUCCCAGCACUUUGGGAGGCUGAGGCGGGCGGAUCACUUGACGUCUGGAGCUCAAGACCAGCCUGGCCAACAUGUAGAAACCCCGUCUCUACUAAAAAUACAAAAAAUUAGCUGGGCGUGGGGGUGGGCACCUGUAGUCCCAGCUACUCAGGAGGCUGAGACAGGAGAAUUGCUUGAACCCAUGAGGCGGAGGUUGCAGUGAGCUGAGAUCGCGCCACUGCACUCCAGCUUGGGUGACAUAGUGAGACUCCGUCUCAAACAAACAAACAAACAGACAAACGAACAAGAAACAAAUUCCUGCUUCUAGGUUUCGCAGAAAGGAAGGAGAUUAACAUUCUGCUUCCAAAGUUCUUCCCCUCCCCCUUCCCCCUCAACAACUGUAGUCCUCUCAUGGAAGGCCAGACAAGCAGAUGUAUGUAACUGUCCACUUCUGCCCAUAUUGUUGGCUCUGCUACUCAGGAAAUAAGAAAAAUCACGCUGGGUCUCCAGCUCCUCUGGAAGCAUGAACCAGGAUGCACAUUCUCCCCUGGGACCACCUCAAAGGGAUUGUGCCUCUUAUCACCAACCUGGAGGGACUCACAGAUGAAUGAUGCUGACAAGUCUUGCAGUAAUUUCUUGCCCCGAACUGGGAAACUGAAUGCCAGUAGGUGCAUGCAUUACCUACUGUCUGCCGUCACUCAGAGAGCUGCGCUAAGGAUGACCAGGGCAGAGUUGUGGGAACUGCCAUCUUCUUCUGCAGGAGGGCUCACUCAAGUCUGAUAUGCCUAAGAAUGUAACGACUUUUGAAUUUUGAGCUUCCUCCUUAAGACCUGGAUUUAGACCAAUAAUCCUCAAGGACUCCUGUUCAAUAACAGUCCAGUUUCCUGGGAAUGGUGAAGAAGGGUGUGAGGUGUUCAGGUCAAAGGCAGAUAAAGUAGGAGGAAAGGAAGAGAAGGAGGGAAAGAAAGGAAAGGAAAAAAGGACAGACAAGACAAUGGCCUGGGCCAGGGAGCACUUCAAACCACAAAGAAGUGACUAGAUUGCUGUUUUUCUUUCUGCUUCAUCCCAGAAUGUCUCUCAUUACUAUUAGUGGCAAAAACCGCAAUUACUUUUGCACCAACCUAAAUAACCUGUACUCAAGGCAAUGAAAUUUCCCAAUGUCCUGGAGUUCUAAAAUCAUUUUUAAUAUACAGUCAGAAGGACUUGGGUCAAUUGAGUGUGAAAAUAACAUAAGACAGAGCGUCCCCCAGGCCUGCUGGAUGAUAAACCACUAUGCAAAAAUAGAAAAUAUCAGAAGUAGGAUUUUAGACAGAAAACACAUUUCACAAAAUACAGCAUGUAUUUAAAAUAAAUAAAAAUAUUAUUAAUUAGAACCGAGCAUGGUGGUCCGCACCUAUAGUCCCAGCUACUCAGGAGGCUGAGGGAGGAGGAAUGCUUGAGCCCAGGAGUUCAAGUCUAGCCUCAGCAACAUAGCAAGACCCUAUCUCUUAAAAAUAUAUAUGAACAAAUAAAAAUAAGAACCACAUCAUCUUGAGAUCUUUGUAUUGGCCAGAUGCCACGUGAGGUGCUUUCUAUAAAUAGUCUGUGAAAACAUCUCAGGAGUUCUCUGAGGUGGGAACCGUCACCAUCCUAUUCUCCAAGUCAGGAACCAGUGGGAUGAGUGAGGUGGACUUCGCCAGGAGUCCUGAGGUGGGCAUAUAGGAGGCAGGGCUUGAGCCCAGGCUGUACCCACACCACAGAAUCAGCAGCCCUGGCAGCAGCUCCACUUGUCUACCGGACCACACACUUUACCCUCAUGUUCUUCGUAACUCCAUAAGGAAGGGACUAGGCUUUUCCAACCCUCAUUUUGCAGAUGAGGAAACUGAGUUUCAAAGUGGCCCUGACAAACCCCAAGGUCACUGAAGGCUGGCAGGGGCAGAGCUGGAAUUCCAGCACAAAUAUUGUGGUCUGGAGGCCCGCAGUUGAUAGGCUCUCUCCUUCCAGGGGGUCCUCCCUGAGUCCCUAACCUUUACGCCACCAUUUCUCAAAGGAGCCAAGCUGGUCCUUGAGCCAACCUGGGGUGGCUUUGCUGACCCCUCACAGCUUCCGCAGAAGGGCAGUGUCUCUGGGGACGCCUGCUGGGGACAAGUCACUGCCUCCCUCUUUCUUUAAUGCCAACAGCUCUCGAACCCCCACGUGCAGGAGGAGAGCUGCCCUGACUCCACUGCUGGCUUCACUCCUUUCCCACAUGGAUAAAACCUGAGGUUAGAAAACACCGCUCAGAAGUGACUCAUUCCUGACUUCCCUGCCAAAAACAACACCCAUUUACGUAACUUGCUCACACACCAAUCUUUUCCUCCUCCUCAGGGUGACUGCCCUGUCAAACCAAGGCUGAUCUUCCUCACAAACUGGCCUUCCAUUUCCAGCAGAGGCAAAUCAAAUUGCCCUUUCCGCCCUCAUCUCUUUGCUAACUGGGGUCAGAGAUAGCCCAACCAACGUGUCCCUCCCACACUGUGUUGGUGACUUCCGGAAGGGAUGUGAGAUUUCCUAUCUAACACUUGUUCUUGGGCUGAUUUCUUAAGCCAACCUCAAAAAAAAAAAAAGAGUGUGGUGUAGGAAAGGCCUCAUGAACCAGGGAUCACUCUCUCUGCUGAAUUUGCAGGCCAGUUUCCUGACGGAGCACUUCUCACAUUUUCCAUCUCUAGCUGCUUACGUGCAGAAAAGAAAACCCUUUUCGGGUGUGUCUGUAGACUAGACUUUGGCAUAGGAAUAGACGUGGGCAGCCAUUUGAUACAUGAAAUUCCCAGUGCUUCUGAAACCAGAAGCAAUUAGUCCAAAAAAAUGUUUAACUAUCUAUCCCCAUAAUGUGCUAGGAGGUUCUCUAUGGUCAUGUCAGCAUAUAUAUCCCAAAACAUCUGUAUUGGCUUAAAAAAAACAAAAAUAAAAAACGAGGUAUGUCCAAAGAUAGCCUGUCCUCCUCUUCAUUCCAGGUAAGGACAGCCCCUGUCCUUCUGUAAGGAAGAGGAAGCGAAGGGAACUUCCCCCAGGCGCUGGUGGGAACAUCUUAGGAGGAAGGAACAUAGAAAUUGGCAAGGACUCGAAGGACGGAUAUGAAAGUGCCGUGAGCCCUGCUGAGCCCCAUGUGUGCCAAAAAUUAAUUCAUAAGCAAAUGCUUAUUUUAUAGUUUCCCACUUGCUACAAAACAUCAAGCCACAAGGAAAUAUUUCUUCUGGGGGCUGACAGGAAGCGGGUGGCACCAGAGUGGGGAGAAAGAAAGCCGGAAGUUCUCUUCAAGACAAGCGUGAUCCUAUCACCUGACAACGUGUCACCCGUUUCUGGAAAAUCCACGGGCUGUGGUACUGUCUCCUUGUUCCCAUAAGCGGAGGGUUCAAUGUGAAGCCUGCUCUGAUGGCAGCCAGGUAGGAGAAGUCUGGGAGUCACGAUCUACCCUCAGAUGUUAUCACCAUUGCAGGAGCCGGGGCAGGAAGAAAAGAUGCUGGGAGACCUGGGGACACCACCCCUGGGAGUCCAUUAUGCCAGACUGGGAAGUAACCUGUAUUUGGCUUCCAGGCAUUUCAGGGCUUUAGGUGAUGAUGUGAUGGAUGACAGGGUUUCAUAAUAAGGGAGCAAACCCUCCAUGAGAGUGCCUAGCAAGCACUGUAUGUCAUUAUUUGUGGAUUCCCAUAAAUUGAAUCCUCUAGGGUCUGGACAAUGAAAUCUAGAAUUUCUGGAGUGCUGUGAUUCCCAGUGAGCUUAUCCUAAGGCAGGACUGAAUUUUCUUACAACAUCCAAAAGGAGAAAGACAAGAGUCAACACUUUUGCAAAGAAGGGAUUUAGUAUCCAGGGAGAUCCAAACUCCUCAACUGCAGAGACAAUGGUGUCUCCCUUUCCUGCAGCUGUAGCAUCCAGCUUGGGGGCCUGGCUGACCCAUGGUAGGUGCUCAAUCGAUUAUAAUGGGGGUGGUGGUGAGGAAGCCAGUCCCCAAAGGUGGUCCCCAACAAUUCUCUCUUUUUAUACAUGUACCCUCCUCACAAUAAGAGGUGGAGUUUUUCUCCCCGCCUUUGAAAUGGGGCUGGCCUCAUGUCUGGCUUUGACCAAUAGAAUGUGAUAGAAGUGAUAUUCUAGGAAUUCUAAACCCAGGCUUUGAAAAGGCUAGUAGCUUCCACUUCCUGCUUCUUGAAACACUGUUUCUCAGAACCCAGUCACCAUGUUCUAAGAAGCCCAAACCACACAGAGAACCAAGGCACUCCAGGCAGUACCCCCAGCUGAGCUCUCAGCAAAGGACCAGCACCAAUGGCCACAGUCAUAUGAGUGACCACGUAAGCUGUUCUAAGACCAGUCAACCCCCUGAUGGUUGCAGACCCAGCCAAGAUCACACAGAGCAAAAGAACCACCCAGCUGAGCCCAAGCUCACAGAAUCAUGCUAGGCACCAAAAUGGCCAUUGCUUUAGGCUAUUAAAUUUUUAGGUGGUUAUUCAGUGACAGAUAACUACAGGUGGAGGUGGGACGGACAAGAGGUACAGGAUAUUUUAUCAUGGGUUUUGUCCAGCUCUGGAACUCUGAGUAAGUCAUAACCUCCUUGAGUUUCUGUUUCCUUGAGCCACUGUGCCCAGCGUUCCCUAAAUAUUUUAAAUCUGCAGUUGGUUGAAUCCACAGAUGCAGAACCGACAAACACAGAGGGCAGACUGUAUACAUUUCUGGAACUGUGUAGGCCUGCCUGCUUCCCUGCAACUCCCCUUUCUACCACCUGUCAUCAGGAAACAUGGAUCUCAAGAAGGCCAGCUGACCACAGACCCAUUUCCCUUCCUGAGACCCUCCAUGGUGCACCGAACAGGAAGUGACCGUGCUCCACCAGCUCCGGCAAGAACCCACCAUGUCUUCAGUGGAGCAAAGCAUCUCAGCAAUCAUUAAUUGCCACACUGUGGUCUUAGCCCAAGUCAGGCUCACUUCCCAGCUGGCCACUUACUACUCUGAACCAACUUCUCAACAGCAAGACGAAACUCUGAAUCACUCCCCCUGGGGCUUCAAGGUUCCUGUCCUUAACUGGCCCCAGACACAACCCUAGUUCCACAUCAUUUUCUCCAGAGAAAGAGAAGCUUGGGGCCAAGGGGCUCUGACAAGUCAAGUCUAGGCUAGAAGGCAUUUUCCUGGAACCAUCGGCCUCCUGUGAGACACUGGGUUAGACUGGGCCCCCCAGGGGUCACAGAAGCGGGGAGGAGAAAACAGCAUGUGCGUGCGGCCACACCCGCACCCUUCCAUCCUGGCAUGGAUCCACAGGCCCCCACACCACCCCUGCGUUCCCCCAAGAGAAAACAUCCCUGCUCCACACGUGGCUGAACUGCGGUAACUCCAUCAUGGCAUUUCAUCUACAGCCUGGGUGUAUGAGUAAUAAAUGUGUGAAACCAUGAAACUAAUAUUCAUAAUGACCUUACAAGAUAAAGAACUUGAAGGAAAAACAGCUUCUGUGUGCCUGGCCGUCACCAUCAGGGUGCUCCGUGAAAAACAUGGCAUCUCACCAGAGCCACAGACAUCGUCUCCCCAGGAGCCUCAGUGCUGGCGGCCCUCAGCCCCACCAGCCACUAUACUUCAUUGUUAGUCCUUAAUUAAUGGUGCCUUUGUGCACCUGGUCAUCCCGAUGCCAAGCCCAGAACCGAAUGGGGCCUCUGACUUCUCUUCCACGUCUAAUCAGACGCCAUUUCAGCCAACAUUUACCAAGUAUCAGCAGGUCCAGGCCUGGGCCUGGUGCAAGGAGUGACAGGGUCUCUGUUUGUGACAUCCUGUCCCUCACCCCCACCCCUUUAGUCCCAGCAAGGUUCAGAGUCUCAUUCCCUGCCCUCAUUUCUUUUAUUUGUUGAUUGACAUAUAACAUAGGUACAGUAAAGCACACUAAUUUUAAGCAUAUGGCUUACUGAGUUGUUGUUUUUUUUCUUUUUUAAACUUUUAUUUUAAAUUCAGGGUUGCAAUUGCAGGUUACAUAGGUAAGCUUGUGUCACUGGGGUUUAUCACAUAGAUUGCUUCACCACUCUGGUAUUAAACCUAGUACCCAUUAGUUAUUUUUCCAUCCUCUCCCUCCUUCCGACCUCCACCUUCCGAAAAGCCCCAGUGGGCGUCGUUCCCCCUAUAAGUGUCCAUGUGUUCCUGUCACUUAGCUCCCACUUAUAACUGAGAACAUGCGGUAUUUGAUUUUCUGUUCCUGUGUUAUUUUGCUAAGGAUAAUGGUCUCCAGCUCCAUCCGUGUCCCAGCAAAGGAUACGAUCACGGAGUUUUAAACAUGUGCACAGUCAUGUAACCACCACCCAAACAAAGAGGUCGAAUAUGUUUCCAGCACCCAGAGAGCUCUCUUGUGCCAUUAUGAGAAAAUAUCCUCUCCCAAGAUAUGAACUCUUUUAUCAGAGAUUUAAGUUCAGGUUCUCAUCAGCUCUUCCACAAAUUACUGCCCAUUAACUUUUUAAUUCUUAGACUGCCUCCUUGGGACCCUGCUUUCCUCAGUUUACCUGUCCUCUACUGCCAGGUGUAUAGUCCUCCGUUACAGCUCCAAAGCCCCUUGGAGGGCUGCACUGCUCCUAUAUAUGAACCCCAACCCCCAUCCAAGGCCCUUCACUUCUACAUAGCACUCCUCGGUCUGAAAGACCCAACCGCUGUUCUGGAAACCCAACUGCUGCUCUCACACCUCUGGGCCCUCUCUACCAUGGAAUAUGACAAAGAUUCCUUAUGCCCCAGGUCCAUGCCCAAUUUCCCCCUUUCAGUCCCAUGUCCAUCCUUGAAAGCCCAUUUCAUCCACAGACCGUCUGCAGGCUCCCCAGAGAGAUGCUGGUCCUUCUUCCUUGGUGGUUCCCCGGCAUCACUUCUACUUCUUGGAGGGCACUAAAUGUCAUCCUUGAGACAUAGCAUCGUAUGUGCACAUCCACGUAUCCUUGUUAGAGGUUCAAUUUCUUGAGGACUGAGAUUCUGGGAUUUCUCAAACUGGUAAAGCUUUGAAAUUUGGGGAAGGGAAGGAAUAACAACCUAGGGUUUCCAACUUCUAAUUUGGCCAACAGAAAAAAAAAAUCUAUCAUCCAUAAUCAACACCAUUUCAUUAAAGAAGACACUGUGGCUAAGGAUAAAGAUUGGAGAGAUAUAAUCUCAGAAAAAAAUGGCCAGGUCUUCAACCUGAAUCCAUUGGUUUAUGAAAAGUUCACCACAUUGUCCUCAUUUUCCACACUUGACUAUGCCUGGAGAAAAUCCUCACAGACGAACUGGCUCCCAUGUCUGGAAACCACUGCCCCAUCAUCGCCCCUGGUAUAGCAGCACAUACGCAGAAAGGGCUCAAUGACUAUUCAGUUCAACUGCUCUAAUCACAGGAAAUCAUGUGGUUCUAAGACAAGGAGCAUUUCAGCUCUGCUUCCUCCCAACACAGGAGCCCAGAACACAGCAGUGGCUGGGCAACAUUCCAUUGAUGAGAAGGACUGCAGGACCCACCCACACACACAUGACAAAAUAAAAAGCAAUCCCAACGUGUACGACUCGUGCCCACGUGACAACUUAGACAAGCAGUGGGCCUUGCCACUGGCCCAGGUGCCUCACUCAUUGUCCCAAAUCCCAACCUGGUGCAACACGUGACAAUGAACUUCAAAAGUGUACGUUGGGGGAAGCGGGGAUUGGAAGGCGAAAGAAAAGGGCCACCGCAGUUGGCUGCACAGGUUGUGCCAAGGCACAAGGGUGCUGGCUGGAGGAGCAGGCAGGGACUGAAAUCUCACCUGUGCUGCACCUGCCAAGCCAGGCACCCUGGCCGGGGGCACACUGACUCACAGGAAGAAACGCCCUUUACAAAGUUGCACAAAGAACCAAGACUUCAUUAACCGAGACUCCGAAUUUCAGUUCAAGGCCAAGAAUAUGUCAGGUCAAAUAUAUACAUCAGGGUGAAUUUUACAGUAUGUGGAUUAUAUCUCAAUAAAGCUUUUAUCAAAACAUAUGUGUGUGUGUAUGUGUACACGAGUCUGUACAUAGAUACACGUCCAAAAAAAAAACUCUUAUUCAGAGAGCUAACAAAGAAGGAAGAGUGCAUAAAGGAGGUAUUAAAAAUAUUUAAAGGGAUCAUAUAUAAAAGUUAUGUUAUUUAUGUAUUAUUAAAAUUCAUGUUCUAAGAUGACUGUUGUGGAAGAAAAAAUCAUGAAAAUUGUUUUUUAAG
rnacentral:lncRNA from 1 species